rnacentral:lncRNA from 1 species
GUUAUAAAAUUAUACUGUCGCAGUAUCCUCAAGACGAGUACUCCAGGUAGUUUAGAAUACAUUUACGCUCGUGCUGGUAUGCCGAGUGGAUUUUUACAGGGUCGUUCAGGUUGUUCCGGACUGUUGGGUGCCGUCAGAUUUGACGGUGGACCCGUAUCACCUUUUUGGCGUCAGAUUGUGCCGAGGGCACGUUACCUGUUGGUUGUUAGACCAGUUUGAGUCGGUUACUUGACUUUGGCUAUUGAGAGCCUGAUUGAGCUCGACAGAGAUACGCUGCAUACUCGGUUGGGUAGCGCCCACGAGUGCCACUCCGGAGACGGGCUUUGUGCUUUCGCGUUGGUGUCGCUCAUGCCAGUUGGACUUGCUCUCCACGGACCAGUUAGUGUGGAGGUAGCUGGACAGUCGCAACGGGGCAGGGACGGGUAUAUUCACAGUCCCGGAGACGGGUAUGCUUACAGUCCCGAUUGGAUUUGGUCAGUUUUGACAUUUCCUACAGUUGGUUAGCGUAGAGCAUGAUAGUGUAGUGAUUGAUAGCGGUAGAGUGUACUUCCUGCUUUUCCUACUAUCCUUACUCCCUUCUGUAGACUUAGUGGGUGACCGAUGUUGUUUUGGGCGGUACCCACUGAGGACUACUUAUUUUUGCUGUAGUUCUCAUGCCCAGUUGUUACUCUUGUUUUGCAGAGCCACAGAUUUCGGCUGCUGCGCCUUCCGUGGAUCAGGAUCGAGGCAAGGGCGUCGCGAGCUAGAGCCCUACCCGACUGACAGAGCUAGAGGCACCCCUACUGCAGGUAGAUGUUUUGUCUGAGUUUAUGUACAUAGCUUACUUAACCUGCCAGUGCGGGUAACUCUGUAUUUUGGACUUGGACUAUGUAUAUGAAACUCAGUUGUUUAGCUUCUGUUUAUUGAGCAGCUCUAUGCUACUGUUUGUAGUAUUAUAUAUCUACAGGUACUUUUGACGCUUCGUAUACAGGGGAAAGUCCUUUGCAUACGGCGGAUUUGUCGGCGUGCCCGGGGAACGAGACAUCCGGGGCGUGAUAGAUUAAGUUGGUAUCAGAGCUUUGCUAUAGGUCGUUGGGACCUAGGAAACCCUAAGUUGGCAAACCUUAGGAAGUAAGACGCGAGAGGCGUAAUUUAAUUGCGAAAGUCAAUGAUUAUUUGUUCUAACUCCUCCUAGAGUGGAGUGAGUGACUGAAGGAGUUCCUGUUUUGGCCUGAGAAAUUAUGUUGGCUGCAGACGACAUAAUUUUGGAGGAAAAGAGGGACCCGCCUUCCAGACUUUUGUUGAUUGGGUCGAGAGUGUUGUGUUGUAUCUGACCCCGAUUUGUUCCUUUCAGCAAUGUAUCGUCGCCGAGGUCGACCGUCGUUGCGGGAGCGUGCCCAGUUGGUGCGGGAUCGUGCAGAAUCUCCCGAGAGACUUGAGCAGAUGGAGCAGAGUGACAGACCGGAGGCGAGCGCACCCCCUGUUGUAGAGCCGAGUGUGCGACCUGAGGCUCGCGCACCCCCUGAUCUGAGUGCACAGUUGGCUGCCCUGACUGAGGUGACGAGGCAGCAGGGGGAGUUGUUGCAGAGGUUGUGUGAGAGGGUGGCUCAGACACCGAGUGCUGCACCGAGAGUACUAGAGCAGACUGUUCCACCACUGACUACCCCAGCGUCAGCUCCAGCCGCAGCUAUGCCCCCACCAGUGGAGCUUCCUACAGCGCCAGUUGCGCCUGCUAGGGGACCCGUACAGUUGACUGAGGCCGAGCAGGAGUGGUGGACUGAGAGGUUGGCUCGCUUUCGUCGUUUUGAUCCACCGAUUUACGAUGGCAGGUGCACUGAAGCCUGGGUUGUUGAGGGAUGGGUUAGUGCAAUGGAGAAACUAUUUGAGGAUCUGUUUAUUCCAGAAGGGGAGCAGGUACCUCUGGGAGUACACUGUUUAGCAGGUGAUGCGCAUGACUGGUGGCGGAGGGCGAGACGAGACCAGGGGCUGGUGGCGACGCAGUUGAGGUGGGAUGAGUUCUGUGGAAUGCUGUUUGGGAUGUUCUUUCCCAACAGUGUGAAGCAGAAGCUCGAGGAGGAUUUGAGGAGGCUUCAGCAGGGAGACCGCCCAGUGCAGGAGUACGUUCAAGAGUUUACUCGACUCCUGAACUGUGUACCAUUUGCGGCCAGAGACGAGGCGCACAGGGUGUACAUGUUCGAGCAGGGGCUGAGACCGGAUAUCUUUAGGUUGACUCGGACACAGAGGUCGAGGACUCUGGAUGCGUCUAUAGAGCAGGCCUUGUGGGUGGAGCGAGGGGAGACAUCGCUGUAGGAGAGGACUCAGGCCGUGGGGCAGAGUCAGGACAGGAAGCGCCCAGCUCCAGAUGACGGAGGUCAGUCGAGUAGCAGGCGUCCACCGAGGCCUCCGCGAUUGCGUUCACAGGGUCGAGGGUCCUCGGGGCGUCAGCGAUCCAGGGACUCUCGUCAGAGGGGACAGCCAGAGAGAAAGCCGCAGUGUGUGAUCUGCGGAGGACCACACUGGCCAAGACAAUGUGAGCAGAGGGAGGGCCGGUGCUACGGGUGUGGUCAGCUGGGACACAUGAGGGCAGCUUGUCACCGAGCAGCAUCUCCAGCACCAUCAUCAGCUUCGGCUCCACCAGCACCUCAGCAGACUUACAGAGCAGCACCGAGUUACCGCCAGGAGGAUAGGUCGUCCAUGCCGCGACAGGGUGAGCGGCGACAGCAGGCUCCGAGUGGCAGAGUCUAUGCAGCUCAGGUGGAGGACUCUACAGCAGCCGACCGAGUAGUGGCAGGUAUCACUUUGAUUUCCGGCAUUCGUACUCGUACUCUUUUUGAUACUGGAGCCUCGCAUUCUUUUGUUAGCCGAGCAUUUGCAUUGUUGCAUGGUCUAGAUUAGGGGCAUUGUCACAGGCACGAGAGGUGCAGAUCCCGGAUCAUGUUUUACAGGUUGUAGAGUGUUGUUGGUCGUGUCCGGUGCAAUUGGAUUCGUGGGUCAUGCCCGCAGAACUGUUGGUGCUAGGGCAGCUGCAGGACUUCGACGUUGUGCUCGGUAUGGAUUGGCUGGCGCGGUACUAUACUACUAUUGAUUGUGGAGCGAGGACUGUGACAUUCCGCGAGCCAGGCCAGGAGGAGUUUACUUUUAGAGGCUACAGGAGCACAUUGUUUGCCACCUGGAUAUCUUCGGCGAGGGUUCGACAGAUGCUGAGUAGUGGGUGUAUCGCUUUCCUAGCGACUGUUGUGGAGGUACCUACGGCGGCACCGGGACUCGAGGACAUUCCAGUAGUCCGCGAGUUUCCGGAUGUGUUUUCCCCUGAGUUGACGACAUUGCCGCCGGAAAGGGAGAUUGAGUUUGUGAUUGAUGUAGUUCCUGGAACUGCACCAAUCUCAAAGGUACCUUAUCGGAUGGCGCCGGCAGAGCUGAGAGAGCUAAAGGCACAGCUUCAGGAUCUGAUGGAUAGAGGGUUUGUGAGACCCAGUGUAUCGCCUUGGGGAGCGCCAGUGCUAUUUGUAAAGAAGAAGGAUGGUUCACUCAGGUUAUGUGUGGAUUACCGGGAGCUAAAUAAAGUGACCAUUAAGAAUAAGUAUCCCUUGCCGCACAUUGAUGAUUUGUUUGAUCAGCUGCAGGGAUCUUAUGUCUUCUCGAAAAUUGAUCUCCAGUCAGGUUACCACCAGGUGAUGGUGAGGGUGAGGGUCGAGGAUGUUCCCAAGACGGCUUUUCGGACUCGGUACGGGCAUUAUGAGUUCACAGUGAUGCCUUUUGGAUUGACGAAUGCCCCUGCCGCAUUCAUGGAUUUGAUGAACAGAGUGUUCAAGCCGUUCUUGGAUAGAUUUGUGGUAAUCUUCAUCGAUGAUAUCCUGAUAUACUCCCGGAGUGAUGCUGAGCAUGAGGAGCACUUGAGGAUUGUGCUACAGCUUCUGCGAGAGAAGAAGCUGUAUGCCAAGUUGAAGAAGUGCGAGUUCUGGCUACGGAAGGUUGUUUUCUUGGGCCACGUGAUUUCAGCCGAGGGCGUAGCAGUGGACCCGAAGAAGAUUGAGGCAAUUCGAGAUUGGCCUAGACCGACGACGGUGACUGAGGUACGGAGUUUCUUGGGACUGGCAGGAUAUUACUGUCGAUUUGUGGAAGGCUUUGCGAAGCUUUCCACACCCCUCAUACGCUUGACGCGGAAGGGGAUUCGAUUUGUCUGGAGCGAUGACUGUUAGAGGAGCUUUGACGAGUUGAGAUUGAGGUUGACAUCGGCUCCUAUCCUUGCCCUUCCAGUGAUGGAGGAUGGAUUCGUGAUCUACAGUGAUGCAUCGCACAGUGGACUUGGUUCCGUACUGAUGCAGCAUGGUAGGGUGAUUGCUUAUGCUUCACGGCAGUUAAAAGAUUAUGAGAAGAAUUACCCUACGCAUGACUUGGAGCUUGCCGCGGUGGUUUUUGCUUUGAAGCUCUGGCGGCAUUACUUGUACGGCGAGCACUGCGAGGUCUUCACCGAUCAUAAAAGUCUCAAGUAUCUGUUCACACAGAGGGAGCUGAACCUGAGGCAGCGCCGGUGGUUGGAGUUACUGAAGGAUUAUGACAUUAGUAUUCAGUAUCAUCCGGCACGGCGAAUGUGGUAGCAGAUGCGUUGAGCAGGAAGUCAGUGCAGAGCCUGACUUUGAGGAUUACUGAGCAGAGACCCCUACUCGAGGAGCUACAGCGGCUGGGACUCGAGAUAGUACCUACCCCCUGGGUCUACGGCGAGGCUGACGUCUCUUUUGUUACAGCCCACUCUAUUGGAUAGGAUCCGAGAGAAACAGAGUGGAGAUCCGUACUUGUUGAGGAUUAGAGAGCAGCUAGACAGGGGGCAGGCUGAGGGAUUUGCUUUGGACGGUUCGGGAGUACUACGGUACAGGGACCGACUGUGUGUGCCUGUGUAUUUUGAGAUUCGAGCAGAUAUUUUGAGAGAGGCUCAUUGCUCCCCUUAUACGGUUCACCCUGGGGGAACCAAGAUGUAUAAGGAUCUUAAGACACGAUUCUCGUGGCCUGGAAUGAAGAGGGACAUUGGCAGAUAUGUGGCUCAGUGUUUGACUUGCCAACAGGUGAAGGCCGAGCAUCAGGUGCCUGCUGGCAAGCUUCAAAGUCUGCCAGUGCCCGAGUGGAAAUGGGAGUGCAUCACGAUGGACUUCGUCGUUGGAUUGCCUAGAGCGCAGGGUGGCUACGACGCGAUUUGGGUGAUAGUGGACAGACUGACCAAGUCUGCUCACUUCCUACCGGUUCAGACUACCUGGUCCAGGGAGAGACUCGCGCAGCUAUACUUGGAUAAGAUCAUUAGGCUGCACGGCGUGCAAGUGUCGAUUGUAUCAGACAGAGACCCGAGGUUUGUAUCCCAGUUUUGGAGGAGUCUUCAGACAGCCUUGGGCACACAGCUGCAUUUUAGCACGGCAUUCCACCCACAGACAGAUGGUCAGUUAGAACGGACCAUACAGACUCUUGAGGACAUGCUGACGGCAUGCGUCCUGGAUUUUGGAGGAGGGUGGUAUCGACAUUUGAGACUGGUUGAGUUUGCGUACAACAACAGCUAUCAAACGAGCAUUCAGAUGGCUCCGUUUGAGGCGUUGUAUGGACGUAGAUGUCGAUCCCUCUAUUUUGGAGCGAUGUGGGUGAGCGUAGGACACUUGGACCGGACAUUCUACGUGAGGCUGAGGAAAAGGUGAGAGUCGUUCGACGACAACUUCUGACAGCACAGAGCCGACAGAGGAGCUACACCGAUACCAGGAGACGAGACUUGGAGUUUCAGGUUGGAGAUCAUGUCUUUCUCAAAGUCUCGUCGUCCAGAGGGAUACGCCGAUUUGGAGUACGUGGAAAGCUUAGUCCACGGUUUGUUGGCCCUUUCGAGGUAUUGGAGCGUAUCGGACCGGUUGCAUACAGGAUAGCUCUACCCCCGCGACUUGCUGGCAUCCACGAUGUUUUCCACGUCUCAGCAUUGAGGAGAUAUGUUUUCGAUCCCUCUCACGUGAUUGACUUCACUCCACUAGAGAUUGGUGAGGAUCUGAGAUACGAGGAGUGCUCGAGAGACGAAAGAAUUGCGCAACCGGGUCAUCCCGUAUGUGAAAGUGCAGUGGAGUAAUCAUGAUGAGCGGGAGGCGAUUUGAGCCUUAGACUGUGAUUAGGGAAGCUAUCCCUAUUUGUUUGAUGGCUAAGCAGAGGACGUUGCAGUUUCUGCGACCAGAAACUUUUUGUAGUGGGGAGGAUGUUGAAUCUCCUGGUGUUUGACUGUGGAGCUGGUCGACACGAUGCUGGAGAGUGUCGGUACAAGUCCGAGUCGGCGCGUUGGCGUCAAAUAGACGCAAAACGGACCGUCGCGUGCAACGCGAGGGCAACUUCAGUGAAGAAAAUUUACAAAUUGUUAGUUUUUCUUGGCUUCUGUAUCGUACAGGCCCAUUAAGUGUACCGUUACACUACUAACUGGCCAUCAGCCCGGGUUGCUCUCCUGGCUCCUGUACCGUACGCGAUCCCGUGUAACCGGUACACCCACGGUGUAGUGAGAGGUGUUGUUCUUUUCUCCCUGUGGUAAUCACCACUCCUCCCUCCUCCUUAUUUACCAUGUGAAGAUAUGAUAGAGGAGUCUCGCUGAAUACUUCCUCUCUCUCACUCUCAGACUCGAAUCAUGAGGCUAGGGAGACUCGGUUGGGAAAUUCGUCGCCAUACGGCAGCCGCGAAGCCAUUCGGAGCACACUUUCGACUCGGUGCUGCAGGAGGUCGGGCGAUUGCGGCUUUUUUCCGCCAUCCCUUGACGUCGGCGAUUUCUAGGUAACAUGUGAAUUGUUUUAAUCUGUGGCAUCUUCCUCCAUACUUCAUUUCCUAUUAACUUCGACUCGGGUGCUACUGCUGCAGAAUUUCUGACGUCGAUAUCGGUAUUUUUGGCUCGUACGCGACGUAGGAGCAUACUGAUUGUGAACGAGAACUUGUAUCGUUUGUGGAUUCGUGACUCGAGAGAAUCUACGAGCCUUACUUUCGAAUUUGUAAGGUUAGCUUGUCGAAAUCACUUCUCUCUCUGCUGCUUGGAUUUUGACUGAUUGAGGAUUUUUGGUGUUUUAGUUUGGAGUUUAGCUCGAAUUUCGAGACUGCGGGCAUUUUUGUGUGAAUCCACAGGUGUUCGCAGCCCGAGGGUUCCGUGCUGGCCAGGGAUUUAGGAAGUGCAGGUGUUACAUCGGUUUGACUCCUAGUCAUAAGCGUAACGACAUGUAUUACUCUCGAUUUUUGAUAAUCAUUAUAGCUCGAAUUUAUGAUUAUAUUGUAGUUACUUGAAAUCUUGAAUUUGGAGCACUUGGUAAUAAAUAGUAGGUUAUACCAUGUGGAACUUGGAAAUGAAAUUAGGAGAAAACCUGCUAUUUGGAACUGUCAGCCUGUUUAACUGCCUGAUUUAGCUCUAGAUCAUUUAUAUAAAUUGUACUUGUGUCUAUUCUCUCAGACAUAUCAGGUAGUUUAGAAAUACAUUUACGCUCGGCUGGCUGAUGCGAGUGGAUUUUUACAGGCUCUUUCAAGGUUGUUUUCCGGACUUUGGUGCCGUUCAGAGUUUGACCGGUGGAGCCCGUAUGAUUUUUUGGCGUCAAUUGUGCCGAGGGCACGUUACUUGUUGGUUGUUAGAGCAGUUUGAGUCGGUCUAACUUGACUUUGCUAUUGAGGACUGAUUGAGCUCGACAGAGAUACGCUGCAAUACUCGGGUUGGGUAGCCGCCCACUGAGUGCCACUGCCGAGACGGGCUUGUGGCUUUCGCUUGGUGUCGCUCAUUGCCAUUGGACUUGCUCAUCCACGGACCAGUUUAUGCUGGAGGUAGCUGGACAGUAGCCAAGGGGCAGGGACGGGGUACAUAACUCACAUCGGGGAUCGGAGUUAUGCUUCAGUCCGAUUACUUGUGUCAUUUUUGACAUUUCCUACAUUGGUUAGCGUAGAGCAGUGAUAUGAAGUGAUUGAUAGCGAUAGAGUGUACUUCCGUGCUUUUUCUACUAUCCUUGCUCCCUUCUUGUGACUUAGUGGGUGACGAUGUGUUUGGCGUACCACUGAGACGUACUGUUUUGCUUGUAGUUCUCAACGCCCAGUUGUUAUCCUUGUUUUGCAGAAGCCACAGAUUUCGCGCUGGCUGCGCCUUCCGUGGAUCAGGAUCGAGGCAAGGGCCGUCGCGAGCUAAGAGCCUACCCGACUGACAAGGCUAUAGCAUCCCCUAACUGCAGGUAGAUUUUUGUCUGAGUAUUAUGUACAUAGGCUUACUUAACACCGCCAGUGCGGGUAACUCUGUAUUUUGGACUUGGAUAUGUAUGAAUCAGUUGUUUAGCUUCUGUUUAUGAGCAGCUCUAUGUAUCUGUUUGUAGUAUUAUAUAUCUACAGGUACUUUGAGCCUUCGUAUACAUGGGGGAAAAGUCCUUUGCAUGUACGGCGGAUUUUCGCGGCCCGGGAACGAGACAUCCGGCGCGUGACAAAAUAAUUUAUAUCAAGAAUCCCUACAGGGUAAAUUUAAUGUUCUUUCCUGAAUUUUUGACGGAGUUCACUUAUCCCUUCAAACUCCAGUAAAAAUAGACCAUCUAUACACUGACUACAAUUCAAUAUUCAUCUCGUUUUACCCCUUCCGUCAUUUCCCGGUUACGGAGCUUGAUGGAAAAUAUGGAAGGGGUAACAUAAUGAAAUAUUAGAUUUUUAGGUUUAGGAUGGUCCAUUUUAGGAGUUCGAGAGGUAAAAUGAAACUUCCCAAAAUUUAGGGAUAAGCAGAGCACAUUUACCUCAAUUUUUUAUAUAAUGGAAUAAUUGAAACAACGUAAAAUGACGGGGUUGUAUUGUUAUUCUAUUUAUAUAACUUAUGAUAUUGAACGUUGGUAUUCCAUAGGUCGAAUCACACGUGCGCCAGUGCGGAGGCGGCGCAAGCGCGGCGCGGGCGGGCGCAGACGUUGCGAGCGGGUGGCGCGGGCGAGUGGACGAGCCGCAGGCAGAACAUUGAGCGGGCAGACGCGCUGUGCAACGCGGCCUCACGGCGCGAGUGCGAGCGGCAGCGCGCGGCGGCUGUGGCGGAGGCGCAGCCGUGCACGGGCGCGCCACAGGAGCGACCGGGGAAAAAAAAAAAAAACUACAGGCGCAGGGCUCACUUCCCCUUUUUGACGCGUCCCAACGAUGUGACGCAUCUCACCCUCUGACCACCUGAGGGAAGAGCAGUGGAUCUCUCUCUCUCCCUCUUUGAGAAUAUAUAUACUUAUAUUAAUAUAAUAUAAUUAAUAUAUAUAUAUAAUAUAUAUAUAUAUAUAUAUAUAUAUAUAUAAUAUAAACAACAUUCACACUCGACACUAUGAAUGGAGCCCACCUUUGUAGUUGUAAAAUUGUAUAGUAAUUAAAUAAUAAAAAUAUUAAACAUUCUCUUGUGUAUCUCAUUUGAUAUAUCACAAACUCACGACGAAAAUGAAUGGGCUCGCGCGCGCAUUAGUGAGAGAAGGAGGAACGGGGAUAUGAGGCGAUGUGUAUAAGCAAAAGAUAGUAGAAGAUAGAAGAAUUGAUGAAUAGAAUUGGAGAUAAAAAAUUAUAAAGUCUAGUGAAGGAAAGGAAAAAUGACCAUAAUGAAUAAUUGAGAUAGAAGAGGAUUAGGAUUGUAAGAUGGUAUGAGAAUUAUUUAAGCAAUACUAAUUGAAUAGUUGUAGUGAAUCGUUUGCAAAUGAAAGUAUAGUGAGGUAAUGGAAAGGCUAAUGAUAAUGUAGAUACAAACGAUAGAAUGAGUAGAUGAUAGUAAAUCAUUUAAAAUUAUUAUAUAUAUUUGAAAGUUUUGUUUAGUGAACCGUUAAAAGUCAAUUGAAGUGUAAGUGAGGGGAAGAAAAGAUCAAGAGUGACCAGUGAAGGGAAGAAAUUAAAACUGCCAUGUGCGGAACAAACAUUGGAAUUCAUGUAGUUAAAUAGUAUAUAAUAAUAUAUAGUAUAUAUAUAUUAUAUAUAUAUUAAGUAUAUAUAUAAUAUUGAGAAUCAACAAAAAGAUAGUAUUUUUACUUUAAUUAAUUUUUUUAUUUUUUUUAUUUGUAAGUUCUACACAGAUAAUAAUAAAAAAAUAUUAUGUACUUUUUAAAUAUUACAAUGAGCUUUUUAUUUAUUUUAAACCGGUUUAUUUAUUUUAGACCCACUUAUAUCUCUCUCUCUCUUUUGUUUUUUUUUUUUUUCUAACCCUUCUUAUUUUAGAGUGGUAUUGACCACAUACAAAAUAUAAAUUUAAAUUUAAAUUUAAACUUUAUUAUUAAUGAUUUUUGAAUGCGUUGCUUAGCUUUAUAUAUUUAGUUAGUAAAUUUUAUGUAAUUGUUGUAAUUAAAUAUAUUUUUUAAAAAAUUUAAUUGUAGUGUUUUUAUAAAAAUGGAUUAUUUAUAUCUAAAUAAUUAUAAAAUUAAAAUUAAUAUUUAAUACAUACAAUCUAAAAUAUUUAAAAAUUAUGCAUAAAUAAUUAUACAUUUUAAAGUUUUAUUAUAAUUAAAACACAAACUUAUGAAUUUACAAUCUGAACCCGAACAGGUGUUAAGAUCAGCAUUAUUAUUUGUAAUCAAAACUUGCAUAUUUGAUACAAUUGAUCGUAUGUGAAAAUGUUUUUAAAACUUUCUUAUUUAAUUAACUAAAAUGUAUUAUUAUUUACUUUAUAAAAAAUAUAUUUAAUUAUUUAUUAAUUAUUUAAAAAUAAGAUAAAUGAAUCCGUUGCGUAGCACGAGUUCCUUAACUAGUUAUUAUUAUUAUUUUGAGAGCUAAAAAGGUUCGGCCUUUGUGAGUUCUUGGUGUUGGAUUAAUAAUGUGAAUAGGGCUUUUUCCAAUAAGAUCGAACUUUCUAGCCCUUUUUACAUUUUUAUUGAAAUUAAUAAAUUAAUGUCUUGAAAUGAGAAAAUUGAACUUUGGGUUUCUUUUGUGAGAUGAUUUUCUAUCCUUUGGUUCUUUUUUUCAGUUAAAUAUUAUUUUCUAGUUCAUUUGAAUAAUAGUUUGCUAAGUUACAUGGUAUUAAUCUUAAUCUUGAACUAGAGAUACUUAGCAGGGUAUUAAUCUUAAUCUUGAACUAGAGAAUAUAUAUAUAAUAGAUUAUUUAGUUUAGUACGUAGUUGCAGUAAACAAUAUUCCUUUAAUUCAAAUGCACCUUGAUUAAUCCCAUUUUAACCCGUACCUGUAGCUAUACAUUAUGUCCUUCACUAACCUAAAAUUAAUCAGUUCUUUUUUAAUUCUUCUGAAAAUUCUAUAAAUCAUACAUAGCUGGUAUUAACUGAAAUUUAAGGGAAAAAACUGAGUUUUCAUAAUUUUUAAAAUGAACCGUAAAUUUUCCUAUGUUGAGUGAUUAUGUGGAUUGUUGUACUCCAUUUUCAAUGCUCCUUUGAUUGCGUCUGAUGACUAGAUGCCUAAGUACUGCUUCAUCUCAAAAUUACUAUGUUCAUUGUCUUUUCUUCUAAAAUUUUCAGCUUCUUCAAUUUUAGAUUUUUGAUAUUUCUAUGUGUAUAUAUAUUGACUGAAACAAUAUUUAUUCACGGUGACACGAACUCUAUGCUAGUGUAUAUAAAAACACUUGCCCCAUAUGUUUGCUUCUAGUAGAGACGACAACUGCACAAGUUUGACUGAUACUUGGAUCUAGAGGGAACCACCUAUAGGGAUGUCAAUGGUAUGGAUAUAUGAAAUUUAAUCCGAACCCGAAUCCGAAUGAAACGGAUAUAUUCGAUACUAAAUGGAUAUGGAUUCGGAUAUGAAUAUCAAAAAUAGAAAUCCGACUGAUAUGGAUUCGGAUAUGAAUUUUGACUGUACCCGAUCCAAAUCCGAACCCGACCCGAACUUAUUGAUUUUGAGUCCCUUCGAUCACUGGGCAAAUGAUAUCGAAAAAUCAUAAAAUUUAUUUUCUAUGUACUUCAAAUACUCUAGAUCAAGUUUAACGGAGCAGAUCGACGGUUCGAAAGUUGCAACAUCGAAGACGACCUGGAAGCACGGAAGGCUCCGUGCUUCCAGAAGCAUAGUAGCCUCACUCUAUAUAUAUAUAUAUAUAUAUAUAUAUAUAUAGAGUAUAAAUACUAUGCAUACUACGCGGUAUAUAAGUAGCGAAUAUAUAUAUAUAGAGUCCCGCCGGCUAUACUGCAUACUUGGUAGCACGGAGCGCUUCGUGGGCUACCAAGUUGUUUUCGAUGAUGCGGCUUCCAAAUCGAUGAUGCGCUCCGUUAGACUUGAUCUACACCAUUGAAAGUAUUUGGAAACUAAAUUUCAGAUUUUUUCGACAUCUUGACUAGUGAUCAAAAGAUCUCAAAAUUGACAAUUUUAAUGGCUGAUGUGGUGUGUUUGUGAGUUUAACGGUGUAAAACAAUCCAAAUGCGAUGAAAAUUUUAUAGAAAAUUUUUUUCACUAUUUAGAGUAAGAUCAGUAUAUCUGAUCUUGAAUUUAAAUCUUUUAUCAUUAUUUUUAUGAGAUUUUUAUUUUCAGCCGUCAAUUUAGACUACUUGUUUGAUAGGUAAAUGAUAUCGAAAAAUUAUGAAAUUUAGUUCUUAAUGCUUUUAAUAGUGUAGAUCAAGUCUAACGGAGCCGAUCAUUGAUUGGAAGCCGAUCAUCGAAAACAACUUGGAAGCACGGAGCGCUCCGUGCUACCGAUAAAUAGUAGCCUAGUUCUAUAUAUAUAUAUAUAUUGUCAUGCCCGGGGUCCUUUUUAGUUUGGAAAAACAGCAGAAACGACUAAAAUUUUUUUUUGAAACACCUGACCCCAGAGUAUGUCAGAUCCGCCACAAAUUCAGGGAAUCCACUGUUCACACGGACAGAGUCUCCCCGUAUUUGCACGGCGUCGCACAAGUACAAUUAUACAACCAGAGUACAACCAGAAUACAACCACAACCAUAUGAACAUACAACCUCACCGCACAUACAGACGUCCAUACAUUCACCAUUCACAACACGACGGUAUUCAGUUUUAAACAUAAAUCCAGAUCUAUCAUUUGAAACUUUCCUACCCGGAAACAAGUUUUGAAAUACUAAGUCUCAGAAAUCCAUUGGAAGCUUCUGUUAGACUGUUUUCCACACGGAAACCUUAUCUUUUAAAACACUACCACGAGGGGUAGAAACCAUUGAAAACGUAUCGAAUAUAAAAACCCUUUUCUUUUUAAAACAAGCGCUACCACGAGGGGUAGAAAAUCAUUUUACUUUGAAAAGCCCAUAAAUCUCUUUUUAUCACAAUACGUAAAGCCAGCGAAAAACACAUUACGCAAGUACAGAAAUGAAACUGAACCAUAAAUAAAGUUUACUAUUUAUUCAAGCAGAGGAAAAGAGAUAACCAAACGGGACGGAGCUCUAACGCGCGCUAACUCGUCCUCACCUGUCGUCCGCACUCGGACCUGCGACGUCACACUGUAAUGGGGGCGGGGGUGAGAACAUUGUAAACAUGUCUCCCCCCAGUGGGUACCGCGAGCCGACGAGGGCGAGGGUACGCACCAGCAAAGGAGGCUAAACAACAGUAAGGGUAACAACUACAGUAGCUACUAUGAUAUAAGAACAGAAAGUACAAGUAAGGAACUAAUGUCAAGUAAUGAACUAUUGCUACUGUAUGUAUGCAUCAACUGGUGGAUAGUCCAAGAUACCCAAUCUAAACCUGCCUUGUUGGUCCGGAGACCUCAGGCUUAAUGCCGACAAUCACUCAACCUGUCAUAACCCAGUCGUAACUCUGACUCACGGGUGGGCAAGCCCAACCACUUUUCCGGAAAAGAACACCCCCUGCGGUGGAUCAGACGCUGGUGUCGUGAAAUGCGAACGAGUGGUGACGAUCGAUGCUGAUAUGCUCAAUAGCCAACCGUGCGGCAACCAGCCGACAAUCACUGCCGCCUCUGGCAUACCGAGCCGAUAGGUCAUCAGUAACAACGUGGAACGCCGACCGAUAGUAGGUCAAUGUACGAAAGUAACAAACGACAAAGACAGUCCACAGAGAACAGGAGAACCGACCAACCAGGUCACAGGUAUAGUAUAUACGAAUGCCAUCUACUCUACCCCUACACGAGAAUACUACGCAUAGGACAAGCGGGCAGAGUAAAUAAAGACAGUAUGGUGCAAGGCUCAAAAUGUAAAGAGUAAGCAAUAUGACUAGACGAUGUAAAAGAUAGCGGUAAAGGAAGACAUCACCGAGCGUGCACCACUGUACGACUUUCGGAUCGAAGUACCCACCUGUAUAAACUGAAACGGUCUCGCGAAGGCGGAGACGAAGCGACGACCUACGAAGGGUCCACGCGGUUAGAGUCUAACCCAAAACACAAUAACACACCAUUCUCCACACCAAAUCCCAAAAUCAUAACCCUCGAGAAUCGGUUUUCAAACGCAACUUCCGAACCAGCCGGAAGUCCCGGAAACCGACCGGAACUCCACCGUCGCUCACCCGUCGUUUCUGAAACCCUCGAGACGACACGGUGUGACCAGCCAACAAGGCUCAGCGACGCAACAAUCAACCACGAGGCACCGUCGGAGGAAUUCCGAGUCGAACACGGCGUUCUAUCGGGCGGAGUUCGCCGAAAAACGCUCCGAAAUGACAGUUAGAUUUCCGCAAGGGCUUGGGGCCUUGGACGAUCAGUCCAGAGGUUAUCUUAUAGCCUUAAUCCUCAGCCAAUAGCAGCCACGACGAAGCGAACGCCAAAGGAUCCCUAAUGGCGCCAUGACAAUCACAUACUUUUAUGUGAUUUCAUGGCUCUAACGGCAGUACAGCGAAACCAGGAUCUAACGGAGGUUGCCAUCGCUACUUGCUGCAGUUUCGCGACGCCUGAGGUCGUGCUCGCCCUUUCGGAGCGAUGCAGGCAGCACACGCGCGACGAGCGACCGAACCUCACGCGACUCAGUGUCGCACACUGUGUUGAAAACAGCCUCUUUCUUUUAUUACUAACCAGGGCGUCAUUGGCCUAAUGGAGGUGGAUCAGUGUUCUUCAGCACGAGACCCGUACGGAUCACCGUGCUCACCUCCCGAGGUGCAGUGGAGUCAUCGGUAUCACCGGAAGGGUGACCGUAACGUUAAACAGGCUAGCCGUUUGGAACCAAAUAGACUAUCUGGCACGCGAGUUGUGGGAGCUUAGGAUGCCCCGGCGAUCGGACGGCGGCGCCUCCGGCGGGGAUGAGGAGCAGCUGGUCGGGGAGGUCCGGGGGAGUGUGCUGGCCGGGCGGCGGGCAGCAGCCGGUGGGCUGGGGGCGCGGAGAAUCGGGCCCGCACACUUCCUCUCGGGUUGAGGUUGCCGGCGGGGAGGUCGCGGACCGGGGGAGGUCGCGCGGCGAUAGAUCGGUGCGGAGACGAGGAGGAAGUUGCAUGCGUCAGCCUGCGGAGGCAAUUGCGCUGCCAUAGGUCGGGCCGCGCACCAAAAAACUGGCGCGGCGGGCGGGAAGCCAGCGGCGGCCGGCGGCGUGCGAGGGACGGGGGAUGCACGGCGUCGCGGGUGGUCGGGACGGAGCCAGAUGGAAGGCACCGGCCCGAAGAAGGUGGCAUCGCCCGCAAUCCCGCUCGCCUGGCUCGGUUUGGGCUGACCGGAGCGGCGGCCGCCAAGCUUCCGUCCGGGGCUCGGCGGACGUCGGGGGGUGGCCGGAGCUUGGAGGAGAGGCACGGCCUGAGGUGGAAGGAGGCCGGGGCCUCGGCUUCCAGACGGCCGGGGGGAGAACCCUCCCACAAGCCCUCGGUCUAGAGAUCGGAUGAGGAGGUGGUCGAGGAGAGGAGGAAGCGCUGGCUGCAGGCGUUCCGGGCCGGUGCUUAGGCGGCGCGCCGGAACGGAGCACUCGGCAGGAAGUGUGGGUGCAGGCGGCGUGGGGUUCUAGGCGUUUAGGGUUGGCUCCAAUAAAACCCUAGAUCCACUAUAUUGAAAGGUAUGGAAAUUGCGAAAAGCCCCCUCGAAACGGAAUCGAAUGUAAUCCCAGCUCUUCAACCACAGCGCCAAUGCGCGAUAGUCGCCUCUGAGUUCUAAGAGACUCGCCAAUUUCGAUGCUGAAAAUAUGGGCCUUUUCACGACAUGAUUAGCAUUCUCAGAUCAGGCCCCGCUGUCGCUGACUUUCGCGGAUUCCCGGAAGUCGGUCCGUCGGAUUUCGUUCGAAUCACACCAGCGGAUCAGCAUGGACAGAGGCAUUGAGGAUGGAGCAUUUCGUUUCACCGAAAGGGUUUCCGGAUUCUAGAAGACGAGAAACCGAUGGUCCCUCCAAUGUUCCACAAAAGCCCCGCAUAUUAGGACGAUAUAUGCGCAAAGAAGACCGUAUUGAACCCUUUGCUUCUCGAAAGUCGUGCGAUCCAAAUCCAUGUCCGUUAGAGUGGCCGAUGGGUCCCAGGAUAGGGUCGGCGGUUGAAAAUAGUAUGUUAGAGAGCUAUUAUUCGGAGUCGAUACGCGUCGAAAGUCCACUCGUACUCCGGGCCUUUCCGGCGGAAAAGCGGAGCUACUAUCACUUAAGUGCAAACUUGCUGAGGUCACGUAACUUCUCCGGUUUUAAUCGUUUUCUCCUGAAUCUGACGAGGGUACAUGGUAUAGAUAUAUUACACAAGAAGAACAUCGUCAACAUAGGAGGUGGUUAGACAAUAAAUCAAAAAAUCGUCAGUUAGUUUAGAAACUGAAUAUAUUCAUAGUUGAGCCUAGAGAUACUGAUCGGGUAGUAAACAAGGCAUUUUACUACCGAUUUGAUUUCGGGGAUGAUAGCAACUUCCAAGAUUGACGAGUCGGCUUUCGGUUGAGGUAUGAUCUAUACCACUUUGAAGUGUUUAGAAAUCAAGAUUUAAAUGUCUUUUUCGACAUCAGUUUGCCCUAUGAGUUGCAAAAGGCGCUGUCAAAAGGUUUGUGAGUUUUACAAGGCUCGAUAAGAGGCGUGUUUCUUUGUUUAAACGCGGGUAAAAGAUAUCCAGAAGAUCUAAUGGGAAUGGUUUGUUCAGAAAAGUUCUUUCAAACUAUCUUAAAACAAGAUCUAUACUCUUGAUCUUGAUUACAAGACUCCUAUCAUCAUUUUUUAAAGAGUAUUCAUUUUCGGCCAUUCAUUUUUCUGUUCACUUGAUGGAUAAAAGAACAAUAUCGAAAGUGCGUGAAAUUUGAUUUCUGGGUAGUUUGAAUGGUUUAGAUCAUAUUUAACGGAGCCGAUCGUCAAUUUGGAAGCUCUAUCAUCGAAAAUAAAUUGGUAGUAAAACGGCUCGUUUACUACCGAUAGUAUUCUAGCUCAACUAUAUAUAUAUAUAUAUAUAUAUAUAUAUAUAUAGUCCGGCUGGGAUACUAUCGAUAUCACCAAGCGUUUGGUGCUAUCAAGUUUUUCGUCGUUAGAUUUAACCCUUGACUAUUUUUACCCGUUAGAUUAUAUUAUUAAAUCAAUAACUCACUCAACCCUAGGGGGCUCACAUCAUCAUAAUCGUACAUUUUUUCAUCCAAGAGCCAAAAACCUAAUAGCACCAACAGUUUGGUACUAUUGAUAGCAUUCCAACCUAGUUCUAUAUAUAUACAGAGCUAGGCUGGUAUACUAUCGGUAGCACAGAGGCCUCCGUGUUACCAAGUUGUUUUUAAUGAUGCGGCUUCCAAAUCGACGAUCGGUUCCGUUAGAUUUGAUCUACACUAUUAAAAUAAAGUAUUUGAAAGCUAAAUUUCAUAAUUUUUAUGCAUCAUUUACCUAUCAAACGAGCAGUCAAAAAAUGAACGGCUUAAAAUAAAAAUCUCAUAAAAAAUGAUGAUAAACGACCUGAAUUUAAGAUCAGAUGUGCUAAUCUUACUCUAAAUAGUGAAAAGAAUUUUCUAUAAAAAUUUCAUCAGAUUUGGAUUAUUUUACACCGUUAAAUUGAUAAACGCAUCACAUUUACCAUUAAAAUUGUUAAUUUUGAAACCUUUUGAUCACUAGCCAAAUGAUGCCGAAAAAUUAUGAAAUUUAGUUUUCAAAUACUUUUAGUAGUGUAGAUCAAAUCUAACGGAGCCGAUCGUCCGUGCUACCAAGUUGUUUUCAAUGAUGACGCUUCCAAAUCGACGAUCGGCUCCAUUAGACUUGAUGUACACUAUUAAAAAUAUUUGGAAACUAAAUUUCAUAAUUUUUCGACAUUAUUUAGCUAGUGAUCAAAAGGUCUCAAAAUUGAUAAUUUUAAUGGUAGAUGUGAUGCAUUUGUAAAUUUAACGGUAUAAAACAAUCCAAAUCAGAUGAUAUUUUUAUAAAAAAUUCUUUUUACUAUUUAGAGUAAGAUCAGUACCUCUGAUCUUAAAUUCAAGUCUUCUAUCAUUAUUUUUUAUGCGGCCACGCGGCUGGGGCGCUCGAGGUGACGACGGCGCGCAGGUCCCAAAUGGCGGUAGGGGAGUACCUCGGGGGCGGCCCGAGCGAGCGAUGGCAGAGCAGAAGAAUUACGAGCUCGGCUCCGACCGAGCUGCAGGGAACCGCAGGCACGGCUGCAUGCGCCGGCCUGGCGGCGCUCGGGACGGCUCGGGGAGGCAAGAGACAGACAAACAAGGUCGUUAGGGAGGUGCCACGGUGGCCUCAGGUGGUGCGCGCGGGGAAGAGGUCUGACAGACCUGCUGCAGCCCGGGCUCGGUCGGAAGGCAGCAGGGCGGUUGGUGCGGCCGCGGCUGGCGCUCCGGAACGACUCAGAUGCGGCGGUUCGAUUGAACCGAAGUCGAGGAGGCUGCCUCUAUGUUGGCCCGGCGGCGACGGCGACGCAACGGGAGCGCCGCGCACAGCUGGAGAAGCCCGAGUCGGCUGGAGGUGGCGCAGGGCUGUAGAAUCAAGCUAGCGGCGCGUGGUAACGGCGGCAGGCGACCGACGCCGGGGGAAGCUCGAUGGGGUCAGGACGACUGGGGCAGAGCCUGGAGGCCAACCCAGUCUCGCGGCUCCUCUGCAACCUGAGGAAAAGAGGAGAGAGAGGCAGAGAGAUGGCAGAGUGAAAAGGUGAGGGCAGGCUGGCGGGCCGACCGGGCGGGACUUGGUCAGCGGCGACCGGGGGCACGCGGUAAGGCAGGGGCAGGGUGAAGGUGGCUGGGGGGCAGAGGGAACUAGGGUUAGCGGUUUCCAAGCAGACCACCUAACGCAAAAUAUAUAUGUAAGUGUAUUUUUGCGAAAAGUCUGCAACUUCAACAAUUUAAAUCCUCAGUCCUCAACAGCAUGAGUAAAACGUCAAAGACCCCUCACGUGCGAGUUAUCACGCGAACGGUAACAUAAAAUGUCGCGGACUUUUGCGAAAUUAUCCGUUUUGCCACACGACCUCUCCGCGAUCAACGGUGCCAAUCUCGCGUGAAGAUCGUCUGUCCGAUUUACGUUGAACAGAUCGCGCCAGUGCGAUCAGUACCUCGCGAGACAAUAAGGCUGCGGAGUUUGUGUUCACUCAAACGGUCAGCGGAUUCACGACGAAAUGCGCUUUUUCUCAAAUAGGCCAAAUAUGACGCACACAUUGACAUAUAAACAUGUAUUUUCUAUAUUUUUCUCAAAAUCCGUGCGUCAAACUCAAAAUCCGUCGUGACCAUUGUUCCAGAAUAAGCUGAAACCAGUCGAAACAUCUAUUGGAUUGCACUAUGAACGGAGUCCGCUAUACGCACCAGAGCCAAACUCCGUACUCGUGGCCUUCUCCGGAAAACCGGAGGUUACUAUUAUUAAGUGAAACCUAAAAUCGGCGUAUCUUCUCCAUUUUAGCCCUCAGUUUCUCCUGAACUGAUGAGUGCUUAUGUAAUUAAAUGGACACACAUAAACAUCGUCAACGGAGAGUUAGUUGCAUGUUCAAAAUGCAGUCCUUAGACGUUAGACUUAUCUAGAGCUAUUUGAAGUUUUGGAGAAAUAAACUUAUGCGAUUUUUCAGAUAUCAUUUGCUUAGUGAUCUGAAGUUGGCUCAAAAUCAUACGGCUGAAAAUAAAAUCAUACAAAUAUGAUUGUAUGGCGAUUAAAUUUUAGAUCAAAGUUUAUUGAUCUUUUGUUAUAUACGGUUUUAAGAAUUUUCUAUCAACAAUUUCAUGUGAUUUGAAUAUUUCUCACUUUAAACUUUGCAAACGGUCACCCGUCCGUUAAAUUAUUGAUUUUGAGCUUCAUCACUAGCACAGAUAUGCGAAAAUCAACAAAAAUUUAUUUUUCUAGCGUACUGUCAAUACUCUAGAUUCAACUAUUAACGCAGCGAUCGCUCGAUUCGAACAAGUCCCGAAUAUCGAAAAAACUUGGAGUACUGGAGCGGUUCCGUACUUCAGAAGACAUCCAGCACACUAUAGUAAUAUAUACUAUAUAUAUAUUAUUAUAGAGAGAGAGAGAUGGAGAGAGGAUGAAGAGUGAGAUGAGAAGAGAGAGGUUAGAAGAUUUUCUAAAUCUUGCUCUCCAGUCUCUUGUAUUUUCACGUUGAGCAGAUUGGCCCCAUAAUUCUCGCAUAGAAGGAGAGAGAGAUAGGCUGGUUACUAUACGUAGAGCGUGGGCCUCCGUGCUACCAAGUUGUUUUUCAAUGAUGCGGCCUUCCAAAUCGGAUGAUCGCUUCUGUUAGAUUUGAUCUACACUAUUGAAAUAUUUAGAAAUAUUUGUAUAUUUUUUGAACAUAAUUUCUUAUCAAAGAGAGUAGUCUAAAAUGAAUAAAAUAACGGGCUAAAAAUUAAAUUCUNNNNNNNNNNNNNNNNNNNNNNNNNNNNNNNNNNNNNNNNNNNNNNNNNNNNNNNNNNNNNNNNNNNNNNNNNNNNNNNNNNNNNNNNNNNNNNNNNNNNUAUAGAUAGUAAUAUUAUUAUUAUGAUAUAUAAUAUUAUAAUUAUAGUAUAUAUAUAUAGAUUUAUAGAUAAUAUAUUAUAUAUAGAUAUAUUAUAUUAUAUUAUUAUAGUAUAUAUAGUUUCAAUAAUCUCUCUAAUAAAACUAUAAAAUAUGCUUGCUUUUAUCUUUUUGAAAUCACAAAAACAUAUUUGUAACAUUAACAGUAGGAUUAUUGUUGAUAUAUUUUUUAUUAUAGAGAUCUGCAAACCUUUCACUUUGAUGGUCAUAAUUUUUAGAGUUACAGAACCAAAUUGAAGGUCUGCCACGCGACACUUAGCUGGUUUCUGCUAUCUGUUCUGGAUGGUUUUUCGAGUAUGGCAAUAUAAUGGACUGCUCUAAUUAUAUGCGAACCGAGUACUCUGUCAAUAACCGAUUACUCGAAUGGCUAAUGCUCCAGGGCUGAUCUACACUGCCUCCUCUCCACUGAAACUUAUCAAACUAUACUUAACAUCUAAGAACGACCUGCCUGUUGACUCCUUUACAUGAUCAACUACCUAUCUGAACCGAAUUCCUUUAUACCGGUGCUAUCUGAUGAAUUGGUAUGAUAUUAUCUGUAUUGCUACGUAAGGCGUGAGCUUUGAUAUCCUUAGAAAAUAAUUGGUAAUUACGGUCAAUUGAUCCUACCAGUAAUGAGAUAUCAGGCGUCCUGAAUCUAAAUUAAAUUUAAUGUGGUGAAAUUUAAUAGUCCAAUGUCUGACUAGCUUCAUGAUUUUGAGCACAAUAGUGAUGCAGGCUAGAUCUAGUGGUGUAGACUUGAUGAAGUUUGCUUAUUGCUCGCCUUAUUAGAUAUAGUGUCCUACCUCUCUAGCGAGACAGAAUUUAGAUUCUAACGAAGUCAAGUGUAGUGUGUUUUGAUGUUCCCGUGAAGUGUGAUUAUUUUCUGUGUUGUUUGUUUUGACGUAACUCGGUACUCACUGGAAAGUUAAAUUUCAAUACUGUCGCUUGUUUGUUUUGAUGUAACUUUGGGUGCUGGUAAAAUCGUAGUUUUUGAGUUCCUGUUUGUUUUGAUUUAAUGUAAGUUGGAUCGUCCUCAAUUUAUCCCUAAAUAUAGAUAAUAAAUUUAUCACUUAUAUUAAAUUUAAACCUAUUAUAUAAUAAAGUUUUUUAUUAUUUAUUGCUUAAAGUAAUUCUUAAAUUUAUUAGUAGCAAUUAAAGAAUUCUAACCCAUUAUAAGAAGCUAGAGUGUUAGAUUUACUGUUGAAUAAAUUGUUUUUAGAAAGUUUUGAGUGUGGUUGAUUAGUCGAGUUCGUUACUGUUAGGAGCGGAAGUCGAGAGUAGUUAAUGAUCUCUAACUUAUACUUGAGUUAAUUAUUAUUUUCACUUACAACCGAUAACAAAUAACGUUGGACGUUGAUGGACACUUGAGUGUCCAUCACUCCAACUUUAACAUCCAAGACAAAACGGCGGCCCUUUAGUCGAACCCAUGUACAGACGACUAAUUCGCACAAUUAGAGGAGCUAAUUCGCCUAAAAUUAUUCUCUAAGAAUCGAAGGAUAGAGAUUCAUACUCGAGUCUAGGAUAAGCAAUCUCAGUGAACGUCUAUUCAACCUCAAGCCAAUCUAGGUAGAAAGAGAGAAGAAAAAUAAAGAACAAGAAGAGAUAAAGGAAAAAUCCUAAAAAAGUAAGGUAAAAACUUACACCUCAUAGGAACUUAAGAAGAACCUUUCCACCCGUAAGAAAGGUGCAACCGAACUUAUAAGAAAGCGUCUAAACCUGAGGAAAUGAAGGCAACGUCUGGUUGCUGUGUUGGGAAGAUGAUAUUCCACUUGCGAAAGGAUUGCUUACUUAUUCCGCAAAGAUCUGCGAGCUUCUGUAUUCCAAAGAUACAAGAACGAAGCUCCACCUGAGCGCCUCCAGAUAUAUAUGCCCUGACUGUGGAAGGUCGACUCUCAUGACUCGCACUAUUCGCUCACGUUUUGCCCCGGGGUCCUUUUAGUUUAUAUAACUAGCGGAAAAGGCGUCUGAAAAAUUUUUUUUUGAAAAUGCCUGACCCCCAGAGUAUGCCAGAUGCCGCCAGCAUAAAGCACAGAAUCACUGUUCACCACAACGGUACAGGAGCUCCCCUUAUUUGCACGCGUCACACAAGUACAUAGAAUAACCCAGGACAAUACACAAACCAAAUGAACAUACAAAUAUACAAAACAAUUAUAUAAUUCAUACACAUCACAUCAACAUGUUCAAAUUUAUAUAGUCGAUCAUUAAAACAUAAAUUCACGAUUCUAUCAGUUAAAAUCGUUUCCAAUCACAGAAACGGUUUUGAAAUACUCAAGAUGCAAAAUCACCAGAAAAACUUUGAAAACUGUUAUCCUACAACGAAACCUUUAUUCUUUAAAAAACGCUACACGAGGGUAGAGAAAACGCUUUUUAUUUGUACAGAACCAGAAAUCCCGUUAUUACACUUCACGAUAAAUCCAUAUAUUCAAAAUGUAAUAUGAAUAUACUGAACCAUAAAUACUACUAGAGCAUAACAACUGAAAUAUAAGGUAAUAACUAUACUACCGAAAUAACCUGGGUCGGAAGCCGCUCUAAUCGACCGCUACACAGCGUACCUCACGUCUGCGUCCACUAACUCAUACGCCGGAUAACCUGAAAAAUGUGGGAGGUAAACAGUAAUACAUGUCCCCCCUCGCCAGUGGGUACCGCAAGCCGAUGAAGCGAGGAGUAACUCAACCGAUCCAGGAUAAACUAAAACAACAGUACGGGUCAGUAGAAAAUACAGUACAAGAAUAAUAAAUGAAAGAGACAUAUAUAUGAAAGAAAGUACAACAUCGGCUACUGGCAAGAACAACUGAGCUGUAUACAUGUAACAAAGACCUAUAUAGCAAACAAUGUAACGAAAGAACUAACAAGUCAUGUAUGAAUCAACUCACUAAACUAUAGAUAUAUACUGCAACAAUCGGACAAUUAGUCCAACAGACCGCCAAUCUAAACCGCCGUGUCGUCUAGAUGGACACCCCUUCAGGCAAAGCCACAACGCUGCUCGCACCUUGGCAUGUAACGGCUGCUAGCACAAUAGAGAUACACCGCUGGCUCUACACGGUCCGGAUGUACGACCACUUUUCCGAAAAAGAACACCUCCUUGCGGGGUAUCAACCCCUGGUGUACGUAAAUCCGGCACUCCGAGCUUGGGCGACAAAUGCAGAAUAUGAUCAAUAGCCAGCCAAACGUCGCGGCAACCAGCCGAACAACCACCGCCCCCGGAGGCAGAACCGACCCAAGGUCAUCAAACCUAUAUAAAGCACAAGAAGCCGCCGCACUACUCAGGUCACACUAAGAGGGAACUCACUCAACAUCCUACCGAAGGUACUACAAUGUCCAACUAACAUAUAUGCAACGACAACCGACGAAUAGGGUUCACCAGCAGAAGUAUAACAAUAGACAUCCCGAAUUACGUCGGCCACUAGGCCGACAAUCCAACCCCUCAGGGUAUACCGAGCCUCAUAGUCAUCAAAACACAGACUCACGAAGCUGACUGAACCAGCGUGCACAAAUAGCAAAAAUAGUGAACUGUGUAAACUAUAAUCAAUCCCCGGUGCCCUAACGCGACAAUCCCACCCUAAGUGUAUUACCGACUCAAAGGUCAAUCGAACGAUGUACGAGAAGCGACAAGUCAGGUCACAACGCAAACGAAUACGAGAACGCGACCAAACCAGGUCAAUAGAUACGGAAUGCGCAACCACACCACGACCACUAAGUCCAACAGAUACUCGGAAUGCCAAGCAACAACUGCAAACUAGUCAACAGAUAACCACUAUAGAUAGAACCGCGCACUCCUAACGCAGGAUACUAAGCAUGCAAACAACAUAUGUAUAACGAAUAAACAAGGGUGCAAGCUCAAUAUACUGAUGGCGAUAGAACAACAUAAAAGUAAGGGUAAGAAACCAUCACCAAGCGUGCACCACUGUACCGACGUCGGGUCGAAGUACCCACCUGUACAACUGUCGCGCCUGUCUCCUGACUGCAAAAGAACGUCAACAGGACCGGCCAGGGCAGAGCUAGGGCUGGCCGCCGGCGGCCGGACGGCGAGCGCUUCGGCCGGAGGUGGGAGCAGAUGGUCCAAGGGGUCUGGGGAACCUACUGGCCGGCGGCGGGAGGCGGCCGGUGGCGCGGCGGAAGAGAUCAAUUCCUCCAAGUGGCUCUCGGGUUCAACGCUUCCCGGCGGCGCGGCCCCGGCCCGGCGGCGGGGAGGUCGGCACCGACGGGCGACGACGAUCCUUUCGCGGAGCCGGGGAAGGGUGGUCUCCGCGGUGCGGGCCUGCAGCGCGACAGCGCGAUUGGAGGAAGCCAGCCCGGCCGCCACCAAGUCUGGGCGGCUUGAAGAGCUUCAGGCGGCGGGCCGGCGGUGGUCGGGGACGCGGGAAACACGGCGCGUGAGGUCGACGACAGAAGAGGAGCGGGCGCGGACCGCCUCGGAGGCCGGCCUGCCAGCUCGCGCCGCCACGGUUGACUCGAGCUCGGCCCGAGCAUGGUGCAGCAUGAUUGCCGCAGAUGCGUCCCGACGCGCGCGGCGCGUGCGGACGCCGACGGAUGCAGGGAGCGGCGCCGCUGGAGAUUCGGAAAGGGUGUCAUCCAUCCAAGCGGAUAGGAGGCGACGAGGAGGAGAUUCACAACCUCGGCACUGUACCAGUUGGCCCCAUCCUGCGCGGCGGACGUGCGCGCUCCGGGCGGCCGGGCGCUGAUGAUGCUGGAGAAGGCGUCUCGACCAGAGGUUCAAGUCUCGACAGGGAUGGUCACCCCUCGAGCUCAAAGACAAAGAAGUCAUGGUGCUAGUGGAGAUAUGUUAGAGGAGAGGCCGAUCCGCGUGUUCCCGGCGGCCGUGGGAAGUCGCCGCGCCGGGGCCGCUCCCUUGCUAGGCAUGACCUGUAGAUGCGGCUAGGCGCACAGCUGGCGCUGGUUAGUAGAUCUAGUUUCGUGCAGAGAAACCUAGAUACAUGUAUACAAAGUGCAUUUGCACAAAUCCACCGAACUACAAAUUUCAACCCUAGUCUUCACCAAUGGGUAAUACCGCGCUUUUGCCACUCCACAAUCAUCUCCGCAUUUCGUACAUAAAAUAUAUACGACUUUUGGCGAAUUUCCCGAUUUCCACUCUCGAACCCUUAUGCGAGACUUAUUGCAAUUCCCAAGAGAUCCAUCCAUCGACGAUUUCCGAACGGAUCACAGCCAACGCGUUCAGCACGUCGAGGCAUCGAAUCUAGCAUUUCGUUUCGUCCGAUUUGAUCUCCGAUUCACGACGAAAUCCAUUCUCUCUCCAAAAGGCCAAAAUGAUGCACAAUUACAUAAGAAACAUGUAUUUUCAGAUUUUCUCGAAAACCGUGCAUCAGAUCUAAAAUCCGUCAGCGCCAGUAGUUCCAGAAUAGCUGAACCAGUUGAAACGAGCUAUUGGAUCGCUAUGAAUGGAGUCUGAUACGCGUAGAAAGCCAACUCUACUCCGUGGCUUCACCGAAAAACCGGAGUUACUAUUCACUUAAGUGAAAACUAAUAAUCGCGUAACUUCUCCGUUUUAGCUCAUUUUCUCCUGAAACUUGACGAGUGCUUAUAUAGUUAAAUUACACACAUAAACAUCAUCAACAGAGAGUUUAGUAGCACUGUCAAAAAAUCUCAGUCCUUACAACUAUCAAGUUAGAAUCUAGUUUACCGAAUGUUAACCUUGCCUAUAGUUCUGCUGAUUGGUGGAUAGAUACUGGAGCUAAUGUUCAUGCUUAUUCUGAUCGUUCGUGGUUUUCCACCUAUCAGGACUCGUGUGGAGGAUCGGUGAACACGGGGAAUGCAGCCUUUUCUCACGUGCUAGGGACAGGUCGAGUGGAUUUGAAUCUGACCUCCGGGAAGACCCUAACCUUGCACGGAGUCUACCAUAUUUCUUGUAAGAAAAUCAUGCAUACGCAGCGGAAGAAAAUAACACAAUUAAAAUUUUCUUGAAAAACCAAAGAUCACCUCGUGUUUCGUUUUAGAUCAUUAAUAAUAGAUCUAAUUGAUCUAAUCAAAUAGGAUCUAUUUUAUUUUAUUUUACCUCGCGCGGGUCGAGAUCACUGUGAAGUUGACAAUCGUUGUUAAAAUUUGUUCGUCCUCGCUUAGCUGCGCACGCGCCCGGCCUCUACUCGCGUCCACACGAAAUCACACCCUUGAUCGAAUUAGACGACCGCUUCGAUCCGUGAUCCGAUCACGAAUUAACCCUUGCGUCGACGUGAGGAAGAUGAAUCAAUCUUCUGGAUGUGCUAGCAACUUUUGAAGAUCGAAACCGAUGGAUUAAUUGUGGAGGACUUAAGGAAGAAAAAGGAUUGACGGCUAGGUUUUUCUUUUUUCUCUUGCAUUAAUUUUUUUCUUUUAUUUUAAUAUGUCAUAUGACAUAUAUUUAUAAUGAGAAAACCCUAACGUAAUCCUAAUUCUAAUUGAAAUUCUAUUCCGAUUGGAUUAUCCAUUAACCCACAAGUUGGUUAUGAUAUUAACCAAAUUUUGAAUCCUAAUUCUAAUUCGAUUUGUGUGUAACAUUUACACAUAAGUGAUCAUAUUAUUUACUAACAAUUAGUAAAUACACCAUGCAACUUUUACACAUAAAUACCUCUAAUUUACAAUAAUUGCAAAUUAGUCCUUUUACUAAUAAAUUAGUAAACUUUAAUAUUUGAUUAUAAUUGUAAUUAAUCCAUCCAAUAAACUUCUUUUAUAGUUUCCUAAAUAUCGAUCAUGUGCAAUUUCUUAUGUGUAUGACCUAAUAGAUACAAUUCUGUCUGGUAGUGAGAUAUGAUGCGAUCCCCAUCUACAUCAUCAGGGUUUUAAGUGACCUUAGGAAGAAUUUGAUUAGUGGUUCUCUUUUUGUUCAACCGGGUUUUAAGUUACUUUUUGAAUGCAAUAGGGUAGUUAUAACAAAAAGAGUGAAUUUUGUAGGAAAGGAAUUUUUGAGUGAUGGUUUAUUUAAAUUAUUUGUAUCUACUCCUUCUAUUAAUGAAAGUGCUAUUGUGAUGAAUGUUAUUUCUGCUAAUAUAUGGCAUGGAAGAUUAGGACAUGUGAAUUUUAAUACUAUUAAAAAUUUGAUGCAUCUUGAUUUGAUUCCUAAAUCUGAUUUACCUGAUCAUAGAUGUGAAAUAUGUGUGCAAGCUUUGGUGCACAGUGAUGUUUGUGAUGGAAGUAAACCUAGUAGAGGUGGAAAUAAAUAUUUUGUGACAUUUAUAGAUGAUCAUUAUAUUUAUUUGAUCAAAUCAAAAGAUGAGGUUUUAUGCAGAUUCAAGAUUUAUAAUGCUGAAGUUGAAAAUCAAUUAGAUAAGAAAAUCAAGAUUUUGAGGUCUGAUCGAGGUAGUGAAUAUACUUCAAAUGAGAUGUCUGCUUUCUAUCAAGCGUUUGGAAUUGUGCAUCAAGUGACUGCUCCUUAUACACCUCAAUCUAAUGGAGUUGUUGAACGUAAGAAUAGGACUUUGAUGAAUAUGGUGAAUUCGAUGAUUAUUAGUUCAGGCGCACCCCGAGAACUUGUAGGGGAAAGUUUUGAUUUUUGCAUGUAUGAUUUUGAAUAGAAUUCCCCACAAGAAUUCUAAUGUGUUUCCUUAUGAGCUUUGAAAUGUAGGAAGUCUAAUCUGAAUUAUUUUAAAGUGUGGGGGUGUCUAGCUAAAGUGAUGAUACAUGAGAAUAAGAAGAGAAAUAUUGAACCUAAAACUGUGGAUACAGUUUUUGUGGGUUUUGCUCAAGAUAGCAAUACAAAUAGAUUUUUGGUGGUAAAUUCUGAAAUUAGUGAGAUUUCUAACAAUACUAUUAUUGAGGCUAGAGAUGCAAAAUACUUUGAGGAUGUUUUUCCUUUUAGAACUAGAGUAGAUAGACCUAUUCCAGCUGAUCCUAUAGGUAGUUCUAGUAGAUCUAGAAUUAGUGAACCUGUAGAAGACACUGAACCUAGGAGAAGUAAGCGUCCUAGAGUAGCAAAAAAUUUUGGAGAUGAUUUUUGUGUCCUGCUAGUAGAAGAUACUCUAUCUACCUUUGACCAAGCUAUGACGUCUGUAGAUGCAUCGUUUUGGAAAGAGACCAUUAAUCUUGAAAUGCAAUCUAUUCUACAGAAUCAGACUUGGGAGUUGAUUUAUUUAUCUUUAGGAUGUAAGCCUGUAGGUUGUAGAUGGAUUUUAAAGAAGAAGUUGAGACCCGAUGGAUCUGUAGAUAAGUAUAAGGCUAGAUUAGUGGCACAAGGAUUUGCACAGAAGGCUGGAAUAGAUUACUUUGAUGUUUAUGCUCUUGUUGCUAGAAUUACUUCUAUUCGAGUGUUGAUUGUCUUGGUCUCUAUCCAUAAUUUGAUUAUUCAUCAAAUGGAUGUUAAGACAGCCUUUCUGAAUGGUGAUUUGGAUGAAGAGAUUUAUAUGAAACAACCUGAAGGUUUUAUAGUUUUUGGGCACGAGAACAAAGUGUGCAAAUUGAAUAGAACUUUAUAUAGACUUAAGCAAGCUCCUAAGCAGUGGCUAAAAUUUGACUCUUUGGUUGUAUCAAAUUGUUUUUAUGUGAACAUGUCUGAUGAAUGUGUGUAUUCGAAGAAAUAUGAUGGACAGAUAGUGAUCUUAUGUUUAUAUAUUGAUGAUAUUUUGAUUUUUGGAACUAAUAUGAAUGUGAUAUAUGAUGUGAAAAAAUUAUUAAAUAAAAAUUUUAAUAUGAAAGAUCUUGGGUAAGCAGAUAUUAUUCUCAACAUAAAGAUCAUUAGAAAAUUGAAUCGAAAGAAAUUAUUAUGAGCCAAUCCCACUACAGCGAACAGUUAUUGAAAAAGUUUGGAUACUUUGAUGUUAAACUUGUAGUAACACCUUAUGAUUCUAGUGUGCAUCUUAAAAAGAAUAAAGGAGAUCCGAUGAGUCAAAAUAGAUAUUCACAGAUUAUUAGAUCCUUAGGAUAUUUGGUAGAUUACACUAAACCUGAUUUGGCUUAUGGUAUGAACUGAUUAAGAAGAUAUACACAUAAUCCAAAUAGAAAGCAUUGGAAUGCCUUAGAAAGAGGUUUGAGAUAUUUGAAGGGGACUGUAUCUUAUAGAUUACAUUACACUGGUUUUCGUACAGUAUUGGAAGAAUAUAGUGAUGCUAAUUGGAUUAGUGAUAUAGCUGAUAUAAAGUCGACUACUGGAUUUGUUUUUCUUUUAGGAGAAGCAGCUGUUUCUUGGAAGUCAACUAAACAAGCUUUGAUUGCUAAAAGUACUAUGGAAUCUGAACUCAUAGUCUUUGAUACAACUGUAGCAGAAGCUAAGUGGAUUAUAGAGUUUCUUUAUGAUUUGUCACUUAUGGAGCGACCUUUAGCACCUAUAUGUAUUCAUUGUGAUUGUAGAUCUGUAAUAGAUAAGUGUGCCCAAGAGAAUAUGGAGAUUAAGAUGAAUAGAUUCAUGAAAGUAAGACAUAAAUUCAUUCGGCAGAAUUUGAAGGAAAAUGUGAUUGGAUUGGAAUUUGUGAAAUCUAUAAAGAAUUUGGCUGAUCAACUUACGAAGGGAUUAUCUAGGACAAGGAUCCCAGAAUCGUCGAGGGGGAUGGGGCUUAGACCACAAUAGAAGUUACCGGUGACGAUAACCCAACCUGUUGCAGGUUCAAUGGGUAGAAACAAGUUGAAUAGGUAGCUGUGAAGUUUAUAUCCUCAUCCUUAUGGCGACAGUGCUCAUCAUGUCUGCAAGCGGAUAGGACGGGCGUUGGCCCUGAAUGGCUCCGAGACCUAUAAAGCAGGGUGUGACCUUGCAGAUACUGUUUGAGGACCUACUAUAUGUGUGGAGUCGUGAGGCCGCGGCUAUGGGAAGAGGGUAGUUCCCUAAAACACACAUGAAGCGAUACUAGCACAUGGCCAUAAAAGUGCUCGCCCGCUUAGAACCUAAACAGCUGUACCAUAUGUGCUGUUCGAGGAAAUCUGAUUCACCGGCCUUGGUUCAAGGCGUAGUCCACCAUCGUGCCCUCGAAUGUACAUUGACAAUCGCUAAGUAAAGGUUCAAACCUGAAAGGUACUUUUACCGAAUACGUGGUGUUUUCCCGAAAAAUGAACGGACAGAAAAAUGAAAAAAUUUAAAUAAAUAAAUAAAAAAGAAAAGGUGUGGUUCUGGGAAUUUAUUAGGAUGUAACUCUUUUUCUAUCCCCUUUUUUUAUGUACUUUAUAUAAACUAUAUAUUUUUUAAUAGUAAAUAAAGAAAUAUAUAGUACAAUAGAUAAUGGUCAUCAGAGAUAGAGAAGGGUUCAUGCUUCCGGGGUACCCUCAGCUACCCGGUUAAUUACGCCCUUUUUAUUACAUGCGGGCCACCUCCAUUUAAGCUAGUCAUAAAAAAAUAAAAUACCCUCUUUUAAUAAUAAUCUUAUUUAUUACUUUUUUUUUUAAUAGUAAUAUUAGUAGCAGUAGAUGCUAACUAGGUACUCAUCACAUACUUGUACUUAACAUAUACAUACACAUACACACAUACAUACAUACAUACAUACAUACAUACAUAUAUACAUAUAUAUAUAUAUAUAUAUAUAUAUAUAUAUAUAUCUAUUAGUUAUAUAUAUAUAUAGAUAUAUAUAUAUAUAUUAAUUGCAGUUCUAUUUCUUUUAAGAGUAACACUUAUUUGGGUGCUUGUAGAUUUUUUUAGCAUUGAGAUUAGAGUUCGUGAUGGGAUGAUGUGGACCCCUAGGGGUUGAGUGGUGUUAGUAGUUUGAAUAUAUUUAUGGUUGAAUGUCUGAGGGUAGAUCUGAACGCGUUUAAAGUACUUCAAGACCAAGGUGUUGGUGUUUUACAAGCACCAAGCUGAAUAUUAUAAUAUAUAAUCUAUAUAUUAUAUAUAUAUAUAUAUCGGCUAGUAUACUAUUGGUAGCACAGAGGCCUCCGUGCUACCAAGUUGUUUUUAAUGAUGCGGCUUCCAAAUCAACGAUCGGCUCCGUUAGACUUCAUCUACACUAUUAAAAGUAUUUGAAAACUAAAUUUCAUAAUUUUUCGACAUUAUUUGGCUACUGAUCAAAAGGUCUCAAAAUUGACAAAUUUAAUGGUAGAUGUGAUGCGUUUGUGAAUUUAACGGUGUAAAACAAUCUAUAUCUGAUAAAAUUUUUAUAGAAUUUUUUUUUCACUAUUUAGAGUAAGAUCAGUACAUCUGAUCUUAAAUUCAAGUCUUUUAUCAUAAUUUUUUAUGAGAUUUUUAUUUUUAGCCGUUCAAUUUUAGACUACUCGUUUGAUAGGUAAAUGAUGCCGAAAAAUUAUGAAAUUUAAUUUCCAAAUACUUUCAAUAGUGUAGAUCAAGUCUAACGAAGCCGAUCGUUGAUUUGGAAGCCGCAUCAUUGAAAACAAUUUGGUAGCACGGAGGCCUCCGUGCUACCGAUAGUAUACCAGCCUAGCUCUCUCUCUCUCUCUCUCUAUAUAUAUAUAUAUAGUGUAGAGCUAAUAUGCUAUCGGAAGCAUAGAGGAUUUGAUACUUCCGAUUUUUUGGCCCUUGGAUCAAAAAUUAUACAAUUGGGAUGAUUUCGGUCCCCCCAGGGUUGAGUAGUAUGCCUAGGGUUGAGUGGUUCCCACAGUGUAAUAGUAUUAAUCCAAAGGUUAGAAAUAAUCAAAGGGGUUGAUCUAAGGGCCAAAAAAUCGGAAGCACCAGAUCCACUAUGCUUCCGAUAGUAUAGUAGCUCUACUAUAUAUAUAUAUAUAUAUAUAUAGUCCGGCUACUAUGCUAUCGGUAGCACGGAGCGCUCCCUGCUACCAAGUUGUUUUCGAUAAUGCGGCUUCCAAAUCGACGAUCGGCUCCGUUAGACUUGAUCUACACUAUUGAAAGUAUUUGGAAACUAAAUUUCAGAUUUUUUCGACAUCAUGACUAGUGAUCAAAAGAUCUUAAAAUUGAUAAUUUUAAUGGCCGAUGUGGUGUGUUUGUGAGUUUAACGGUGUAAAACAAUCCAAAUGCGAUGAAAAUUUUAUAGAAAAUUCUUUUUACUAUUUAGAGUAAGAUCAGUAUAUCUGAUCUUGAAUUUAAAUCUUUUAUCAUCAUUUUUCAUAAGAUUUUUAUUUUCAGCCGUUCAAUUUUAGACUAUUUGUUUGAUAGGUAAAUGAUAUCGAAAAAUUAUGAAAUUUAGUUUCUAAAUACUUUCAAUAGUGUAGAUCAAAUCUAACGGAGCUGAUCGUCGAUUUGGAAACCGCAUCAUCGAAAAUAAUUUGGUAGCACGGAGCGCUCCGUGCUACCGAUAGNNNNNNNNNNNNNNNNNNNNNNNNNAGAGAGAGAGAGAGAGAGAGCAGGGCUACUGUGCUAUUAGGAGCACAGCAGCCCUUGUGCUCCUAACUUUCUAACCACCUAUCAAGUUUGAUGGGUGAUUAGAAUAAAAGGGGAAGAGAUAUUGAAGAGAAAUUUAAGGAGAAGAGAAUUUGAGACACCCAAUUUCUCUCCAAUAUCUCUUUCCCCUUUUAUGCUAACCACCCAUCAAACUUGAUGGGUGGUUAGAAAGUUAGGAGCACAAGGGCUGCUGUGCUCCUAAUCGCACAGUAGCCCUGCUAUAUAUAUAUAUAUAUAUAUAUAUAUAAUUGAGCUACUAUGCUUUUAAAAGUACUAAGUUAUUGGUGCUUGUAGGCUUUUAGCCAUUGGAUUAAGAGAUAUGCGGUUAGGAUGAUGUGGGCCCCCUAGGGUUGAGUGGGUGGUUGGUUGAAUAGUAUAAUCUAAUGGUUGAAAAUGAUCCGAGAAGUAGAUCUAAUGGUAAAAAACUUACAAGCACCAAGUGCUUGGUGCUUUUACAAGCACCAUAGCUAGACUCUCUCUCUCUAUAUAUAUAUAUGGGUUAUUUGCAUACACGUUCCUGCAAAACAUAGUGAAUUGCAGAUAUAUCCCUGCAAAACGGAAACUCCGUAAGUUGUCCUUGCAAAAGUCCUAAGUUAUGCAGAUAUGUCCCUCUGGUUAACAUCCGUUAGUAAACUGUUAACUUUUUAACAACGAAUUUAUAAAAUGACAUUUUUACCCUCACAAAUAUGUCCCUCUAAAAAUAUUCCUCUUCCCUUUCUCUUUCUCUUCCUCUUCGGGCCGCAGGAGCGGAUGGCGGCGACGGCGCGGGUGGGACUCGCCGGCGACGAAGAAGAGGGAAGAAAAAAAAAGAGAGGAAGAAGAAGAGGGAAGAGGAAGAAUAAGAGGAAGAGGGAGAGGGAGAGGGUUCGCCGCCGCCGUCGCAUCUUCUCCCUCGCCGGCGACGAAGAAGAGGGAAGAAAAAAAAAGAGAGGAAGAAGAAGAGGGAAGAGGAAGAAUAAGAGGAAGAGGGAGAGGGAGAGGGUUCGCCGCCGCCGUCGCAUCUUCUCCCUCGCCGGCGACGAAGAAGAGGGAAGAAAAAAAAAGAGAGGAAGAAGAAGAGGGAAGAGGAAGAAUAAGAGGAAGAGGGAGAGGGAGAGGGUUCGCCGCCGCCGUCGCAUCUUCUCCCUCGCCGGCGACGAAGAAGAGGGAAGAGAAAGAGGGAGAGAAAGAAGAAGGGGGAAGAGGAGGAGGGAGAGGAAGAAGGAGAGGGUCCGCAGCCACUGCCGUCACUGCCGCGGCAUCUCCCUCGCCGUCAACGAAGAAGAAGGAAGAGGAGAGGAGGAAGAGGAAGAAAGGUAGAACCGUAAAUUCACAUUAUAAUUAACCAUGGUUAAGUAUUUUAACCAUGGUUAAUGAAAAUUUUCUAACAGACUCUAACAGUAGGGACAUAUCUGCAUAACUUGUGACUUUUGCAGGGACAACUUAUGGAGUUUCCGUUUUGCAGGAAUAUAUCUGUAAUUCACUAUGUUUUCAGGGACGUGUAUGCAAAUAACCCUAUAUAUAUAUAUAGGCUAGGGCUAAGAGGAUAGUAGCACUUGUCCUAUCAAAUUGUUUUUGAUGAUAGAGAUUUCGAAUCGAUGAUCGGAGCCAUUGAAGUUGAUUUAUAGUAUUUGAAAUGUCUAGAAACUAAAUUUCAUAAAUUUUAAAAAUUAUUUACAUAGUGAUCAAAGUGUCGUCAAAUCGACAAUUUUUGACGGCCUAUAUGAGCCGUUUACUUGUUUAAUGGUGUAGAGCAAUCCAAAUUACUUUAAUUUUUCAUAGAAAAUUCUUUAUACUAUUUAGAUAAUGUUUGAUAACUCUGAUUAUGAAUUGAGAAAAUCUAACCUCUAUUUUAAGAAGGUUUUUCAUUUAUGACCGUUCAUUUUUCAACUAUUAAAAUGAACUUGAUAAUGAUUUUUAAAUAUUACAAAAUUUGGUUUCUAAACAUUUCUAAUUGUGUAGAUCAAUUUCAACGAUGCCGAUUAUCAAUUUGAAGUUCUGAUCAUUCAAAAUGACUUGAUAGGACAAUAUCCUCAAUCCUAUUAAUAGGAUAGUAGAUGGACUAUAUAUAUAGAGAGAGAGAGAGAGAGAGAGAGAGAGAGAGAGAGAGAGAAGGGCUGCUGUGUUCUCAGGAGCAUGGAGGCCUCCGUGCUCCUGAGCCGUUUUUGAUGAUGGAAUUUUCGAAUCGAUGAUUGGCUCCGUUAGACUUGAUCUAGGAUAUUUGAAGUUUCUAGAAAAUAAUUUUUGCUAUUUUUUUAUAUCAUUUAUCUAGUGAUCGAAAUGAUUCAAAAUCAAUAAUUUUUAAUGGUUGAUAUUUGCCGUUUUCAAGUUUAACAGUGUAGAAGUAUUCAAAUCAGAUGAAAUUUUGAUACAAAAUUCUUUAUACUAUCUACAACAAGAUCAAUAUUUCUGAUAAAAAAUUUUAGUGCUAUAUCACCACUUUUUAUAGGAUUUUUAUUUUCAGCUGUUAAAAAUUAUUAAUUUUGAAACCUUUCGAUUGUUAGUUAAAUGAUAUCGAAAAAUCGCAAAAAUUAUUUUCUAGAAACUUCAAAUACGCUAGAUCAAGUCUAACAGAGUCAAUCUCGAUUCAAAAAUUCAAUCAUCGAAAACAGCUCAGGAGCACGGAGAGCACAACAGUCCUGCUAUAUAUAUAUAUAUAUAUAUAUAUAUAUAUAUACUAUCGAUAGCACAAAGUGCUUAGUGCUAUCAGUUUUUUAGCCCUUGGAUUGAGAAAUAUAUGGUUAGGAUGAUGUGGGUCCCCUAGAGUUAAGUGGGUGCUUGGUUGAAUAGUAUAAUCUAACGAGUAAAGAUAAUCAAAGGAAUUAAUCUAACGGCAGAAAACUUGAUAGUACCAAGUGUUUGGUGCUAUCGAUAGCAUAGCAGCCGCACUCUAUAUAUAUAUAUAUAUAUAUAUAUAUAUAUAUGUUAAUUGUGUAAGCUACAUUAGCUAUAAUUAUAAAAAAUAGUUAAAAAAAAGAUUUUUUUUAUUAUUUGUUUUAAUAUAAAAUAUUAUGUGUACUUUUUCUCUCAAAAAUUUUUUUAGUUGUAAACAAGUCUUAUCAUUCUCUUUUUAUUUAACACAAAAUAUUAUUAAAACAAAAGUCAUUAGUACAUUUUGAAGUAAGCAAAGGAAACAAGGUAAUCCACCCCGUUUUCUUGUUUUUGUUCUUUCUUGCUCCCCAAGCAAGAAUGGUCGUGGGUUACGACCUCGAGUUGAGCGGCGACUUCGGCAGGCAAGAUGGUGACGGUGGUAAGAUCUCUAAACAUAAAAAGUUUUUUCAUUCAGAUUAAAUUUUGUACUGUAACAUAUGAAUGAUCAGCCGGCCAGCAAUGAUUUAAUUUAUUGAUUUUCAAUUUUCAUAUGUGAUAUAUAUUUGGUUUCGGGAAAAAUUUUCAAUGCAAAAUUAUCUUCCACUGCGUUUUCUGAUGUACGGAUCAAUUUCUAACUGUUCUCGCUCUUAUUUGUUAAUUUUUUUUUUUUCUUGGAUCCAACUGUAGUCGAGGAGGUGCAAGACCGCAGAGAGGGUGUCGCCAGUUAGAUAUAUAGUAUACUAUCCAUUUUGGCUAAUAGAAGUUAUGAAUAUGAUAUUGUGCGUAGAUGUUCUAUUUUAAUGUAGAAGGAUGUGAUGAAGAUUGUAAACUGAGUAGUAAAAUUAAGUGGCUAUUUUCUUUCAUUAGUUAUUUUCAAUCCUGUACAUAUGUUUUUUGUAAUAAACUGAAUACAUAGGUAGUAGCUCUCCACUUUGUGCGAAUAGGAGAGAUACGCGGCGGAUCUGUUGCACGUCUUGUCGGACUUUUGCGCAAGGGGUGCUAGUCGAUCUUCUCGCUUCUGCAAAUUGAUCCAAAUUUUUUUCCUUAUCGCACUCUAUUAAGUUUUUUCUAAUUGUAUUUACGAUCUUGGGCAUCAGUUUAUAUUUGCUUUUAUUAUUUUUACAUGCUAUACAAAUGCAACAACUUCGAAAUAUACAAAUUGUAGGAUAGCUAUUGAAGCAAAAAAAAAAAAAAAAAAAAAUAUGUAGAGGUGCAACUAAGAAACCCUAGGAAUUAAAGGCACCAUUAAAAUUAUAGCAAAAACAAAAAAAAAAGGUAAUUAGUUCAGAUACCGCAAAAAGCGAAGCUAGAAUUUUUUUUAUAGAAAACAUAACUAGAGAAGAAGUCAUCAGCAAAAGUUUAUACCAGUUUCAUUAGAUUAUUUAUUUAGCCUGAAGUUUUCCGCAAAUCAGACCCAAUAAUUACAUUCAAUGGAUUUGAUACUAUCUAGGUAAUUUAAGUUUUCCGGCAGUUCACUGAUUUUGGACCAACAAGAGAAAAAAAGUCACCUGCACCAAUUGAAGAAAAUAUAUAGUAGGUCAAUUUCAAUUUUCUUACUUUGGCCAACUUUUACAGAAUCGAAUAUCAUAAUUUAUAUAUCUAGCUUACGCAAUAAGUAGAGUUUACCCACGCAGAAUUACUUAGGUUAGCAAAUAAAAUUAUUAUUAGAUAAAUUAUUAGGAGUCUCAACGGGCCAAAAAUUGAGCAAUCCUUUGCCAACCAAGUUGACUACCGACUACUAAUUGGAGACGCCUAAUAAAUUUGUUGGAGAGUGCAUUUCAAUGGAGUGCUCAAUUCUUUCCAAAUUCGUAUCAGGGCUUUGUUUGUAUUAUUAUUAUUAUAUCAUUAUAUAUAUUAUUAUAGAGGAAACUUCAAAUAUUCUCCUGUGGUUUCACACUUUCUCACUUUAAUAUCUUGUGGUUUAAAUUGUAUCAAGUUAGUACUAUGUGGUUUUGCACAUUCUCACUUUAGUACCAUGUGGUUUCAAGUGUAUCAAGUUAAUACCCUGUGGUUUUGUACUUUCUCACUUUAGAUUUAAUAUUUCGUUAAAUUAUAUACCCCGAAAUGGAUAAUAAAAAGAGAAAAUUAAAACCACAGGGUACGUACUAACUUGAUACAAAAAUGAAAGCACAGGGUACUAACUUGAUACAUUUGAAACCAUAGGGUAUUAAAGUGAGAAAGUGCGAAACCGCAGGGAGGUAUUUGAAAUUUCCCUUAUAUAUAUUCUUAUAUUAUAAGCAAAUAUGUUUGUUGGUUUCGUCUCACCCCUUACUUUGUCGGUUCAUGUAUAAUAUAUAUUAUUAUUAUUAUUAUUAUUAUUAUUAUUAUUCUUAUAUUAUAAGCAAAUAUGUUUGUUGGUUUCGUCUCACCCCUUACUUUGUCGGUUCAUAUAUAAUUACUAAAAUACCCUUCACAUAACUAAUAAUAAUUAUUAGCACUUCAUAGAUAGUCUUAUAAAUAAAAUUUUUUUGUUAACAACAUAUCUAAUAAAUUAAUAUUGAAUGCUUAAAAUAUAUUUUUAAAUCUUUAAUUUUAAUAUUCUAAUUUCACAUAUUAUACCAAAUUAUAAAUUUAAAUAUGAGUUUAAUUUUUGAAUUCAGAUAAAGUCGGAUGGCUCAAUUCAUUAUAAAUAAAAUUUGAAUUAAAAAAUUACACUUAAAUUUAGAAUUACAAUUUUGAUGUACAUUAAAAUUUAGAAUAGAAAUUCAAAUUUUAAUUCAAGAUUAAAGUUGUACAUGUCCUCUUAAUAUUAAAGUUGUACAUAUCCAUUAAUAAAUAUCUCUAAAACAUUUCACAUGUCCUCUUUAUAAAUACAACUUUUAAGAUUAAAUUAAAUACACAUAAAAAUUAAAUUUUUAUGACUUUUAGCAUACUAUCUUAAUAAAUGUAUUUAUUCUUAUUAAUUACAUAAACAUAAUAAAACUUAAAUUUACAAAUAAAACUUAAAUUUACAAAUAAAACUUAAAUUUAAAAAUAAAAUUUAAAAUUAGAUUAAUAAUUUUGAUGUACAAUUAAAAUUUAGAAUAGAAAUUUUAAUUUUAAUUCAAGAUUAAAGUUGUAGUUUAAAUUUAAAAUUAUUAUAUUUAAUUUGUUUUAAUAAAUUUUUCUCAUCAUUUUGCGUGAAGGCUAUUUUAGUAAGUACAUAUACCUAUUAAUAAAUGUUUCUAAAACUUUUCACUGACCAUCAUAAUAAAUAUAACUUUUAAUAUUAAAUAAAAUGCGCAUUAAAAAUUAAAUUUAUUAUGAUCUUUCGCAUGCCCUCUUAAUAAAUAUAUUUAUUUUUAUUAAUUACAUAAGUUAAUAUUUUAAAUUGGUUUUGAAUUUGUAUUUUAAUUCAAAUUCAAAGUUGAAUUUAAGUUUGAAAUUAAAAUUUUAAAAUUUUUAACUACUUAUAAAUAUGUUUUGUUAUAAAAAUUAAAAAAAAAUCAUCUACUAUUAAUUCAUUGAAUAGGUAACGAUCUCAAAUUUUUAAUUAAAAUUUUUAUUUUUAUUUUAUUUUAUUAAAUAUGAUUUUAUUCAAAUAUAUAAUUCAACGUUGACUUUGAGCUUAAAUUUUGAAUUCAAAGUCUAAAUUACUUUAUUAGUUAUAAAUUUAUUUAGGAGUAUAAAAUUAUUUUGAGAGGGCGAAAUUUUUUUUUAUGAAUUCUAAAGAUUCUUAACCUAAAGAAUUUAAAAAGUAGGUGGUUUAAAAGCCCAUGUAAAUUUAUAAGAGUAGUUGAAAGGUUAUUUGAGUAUUUAUAAAUAGUUAGAUUUAGAUUUUUAGUAAAGCCAAGUGUCACGCCCCGGAUUACACUUUCCCCGGGCACGCCGACAAAUCCGCCGUAUACAAAGGAAUUUUCCCUGUAUACGAAGCGAUAGCUGUACCUGUAAAUUAAACACUACUACGAACAGUAGUAGGGAGCUGCUAGAGAAAACAGAAACUAAACCAGCUGAGUUUCAUAUACAUAGUCCAAAUCCAAAAUACAAAGUUACUCGCACUGGCGAGUUAGGUCCACUAUGUACAUAAACUCGAAACAAAACAUCUACCUGCGGUAGGGGCACCUCUAGCUCAGCACGUCGGGUAGGGCUCUAACUCGCGACGCCCUUGCCUCGAUCCUGGUCCGCAGACGGCGCAGUAGCCGAAACCUGUGGCUCUGCAAAACAGGGGUAACAACUGGGCGUGAGAACUACUAUAAAACAAGUAGUCCUCAGUGGGUACCGCCCAAAACAACAUCGGUCCACCCACUAAGUCUACAGGAGGGAGCAAGAAUAGUAGGAAAAGCAGGAAACAAACUCAACCGCUACAAAUCACUAUACUAUCAUGCUCUACACUAACCAACUGUAGGAAAUGUCAAAUCUGACCCAAUCCAAUCGGGACUGUAGACAUACCCGUCCCUGGGACUGUGAACACACCCGUCCCUGCCCCGUUGCGACUAUCGGGCUCUAUCCACACUAACUGGUCCGUGGAGAGCAAGUCCAACUGGCAUGAGCGACACCAACGCAAAAGCACAAAGCCUGACUCCGGAGUGGCACUCGUGGGCGCUACCCAACCGAGUAUGCAGCGUAUCUCUGUCGAGCUCAAUCAGGCUCCAACUAGCCAAAGUCAAGUAAUCGACUUAAACUGGUCUAACAACCAACAGGUAACGUGCCCUCGGCACAAUCUGACGCCAAAAAGGCGAUACGGGUCCACCGUCAACUCUGACGGCACCCAACAGUCCGAAACAACCUGAACGACCCUGUAAAAAUCCACUCGGCGAACCAGCACGAGUGUAAAUACAUUCUAAACUACCCAAGGUAUCCAUUGCACUGACUCGGCAACGAUACAAUCGAACACGGCUCCUAGAGCUAAAUCUGGUAGUUUAAGCAUAUGACGGGUCAAAACGCAGGUUUUCUCCUAAGUCAAAUUUCAAGUCCAACAUGUAUAAUUUAAAUAUUCAUUUCAGCAUACUUCUACAUUCAUAUUACAUUCAAAAUGCUAAUCGAUGAAUUAAAGCAUGAUUUACAACACUCGAACUAUACACGUUGACUAACAUGCACUUAGGAGCGAAACCGAUGAAACACCCACCUCUAAUGCAAUUCCUGGCAGCAAUAGGGUCUCGGAUCCUCAAGCAACACUGCUGGAAACCUCUUCAAACCAGCAACAAAGCCCCUUAAGAUCUGGAUUUACAAUGCACCCAAAAAUCCAAUAAAAAUCAUCAAAAUCCACAAUUCAGUCCAAGUACACAGCAGCAGAGAAGAGAAAGGUUUCGACCAAGCUAACCUUCACCAAAAUCCACAAGUAAGGACUUCGUGGAUUCUUCUCGCAGUCCCGAAACCAACGAAUCAAGUCUCGACGAAAUCCGAUGCUCCUACGUCGAGUACGAGCUGAAAUACCAACAGUCGACGAUAAAGUUCAGCAAAACAGCACUUAAGCUUAAAAAUCCCAAUUCCAAUGUCAAAACUCACCUAAUGAACUCCAAAUCAGGUGAAGAAGGUCCCAAUUCCAGUGCUGGGUGAUGGUGAACGUGACUCAACUCCACAAAGCCCCUGCUUCCAAAGUUCACCCCAAAAAGAACUCAAAAACUUACAAUUCUGCCCACAGCAACAACAGCAGAGGAAAACUUGAGUUCGACUGAGCUAACCUUCACUAAAUUCUGUGAAUCAUGGCUUCGUGGAUUCCUCUGGAAGUCUAGAAUCCAGCAAACCAAGUUUCGUCGAGAUCCGAUCUUCCUACGUCGCACACGAGUCAAAACACUGGAGGUCGACGCUGAAGAACUGCAGAAUCAGCACACCAUCAAGCUGGAUCAAUGGAACUUGAUGCAAUUUGAAGCAAAUCCGAGGUUUGAGAGGCUAAGAGGGGUUUCUCUGUGAAGGAGGGAAGAAAAGAGCAGCAAAGGGACGCUUACCAAGUAUUUAUAGUGAGUUAGAACGAUCCAAAAAGCCUCAGGAACUCAAGCUGCUAUCCAGUGCCCCUGCAGAAACGGGCAUUUCCGGGCGCCCGGAACCAUGUUCUGGGCGACCAGAACAUCCCGACUGCACAAACCGGGCCCUUCGGUCUCUCCGCCCGCGGUGUGCUGCGCCCGUAAACGGCUCCGGCGGAGCUCACCUACCACCCUGCCACGCGUCGAAGCAAGCGAUAUUCACGAGGUGGAAUUUCCGGACCCACUUCUGGGCGCCCGGAACAUAGGAUCCGAAUUGGCUUCCAGUUUCAAAUAAAUUCAACACUCAUUUCUGGGCGACCCUAACAAUGUUCUGGGCGCCCGAAUCUGGCAAAACUCCAGUUUUGCUUAUUUGAGUGCGCCGAGUCCAAUUCUGCAUCCAAUUCGUGCAGAAUUGACUCCGACUCAGUCCGACACUCUCCAGAGAUGUCGACCAGUCUAUAAUACUGAAGCCAAUCCUAUCCAAAGCUCAGGAACACUACACCAAGUUACCAAGCAAGAAAAUUAUCUUGUACUAAGUUUUCUUGACACCCAACAAAUCAAGUAUUAGUAUGUGUGAAAUUAUAAUAUAUACCAAUUAGUAUUGUUUCAAUCUUAUCUUCGUUGCUAAGAAUACUCAUCAAUCAAAUUUUAUUCUAUACUCUUCAUUAAUUACUAAAAAAAACUAUCAAUUAGACAUAAAAUAAAAAUAUUCAAUUUGUUAGAUAUAUUGCAAUUUUAAAUUUCUAUUCGAAUUAAAAAUUAAGUUUAGAUAUUGAACUCAUAUUUCAAAUUAUUUAAUUAAUAUAAAAGGCUAUAAGACAAUGGCAGCAAACUAACAAACAAAGAUUUUCAAUCAGGUUUCGCUAAGAUUUGCAUACUGUCGGACGGGAAUUGAUCGAUCCCGUCGGUGGCCACUCCACAGUAACAGAUUUCCAUUUACAUAAACAUUACUGAUGGGGAUAUGUAUUUUUCCAAACGGAAAGGAUUUAAUUUAUCCCUAAUAAUAAAGACUGCACGGUAAUGGACCCCAUCUCACAAAAUCCUCAUGCAUGUUUAAUACAUUUAUAAUGCGUAAAUAAGAAUGUAUAAACACCUUUCAAACUUUACAUCUUCGGCAAAUAGCUUUUCCAAUUUUAACACUGAACUAUCUAAAUUUUAUUAAAUAGUUCAGGAAUCUCUCUGAAUUUUAUCAAAUAAUUCACUAAGUUCCUCUUCUCAAAUGAACAAACUAAUUAAACGUCCAUUCUCGACAAAUAACGUGCAUGUGCUGCAUAUGAAUCUUCAAAACAUACACAUUAAAGUCUUUUUUUAAUUAUCAUUUUGACGCUUCAAAAAAGUAACAAAAAUCGAAGAUUGAUUAAUUCAUCUCAAAUAUAGUUUUUUUUUUUUUUUAAUUGUAAAAGGAGAAAUAGUAUAGAUUACUUUUAGUCUUUGAAGCUAUACAAAAUAACUUGUAAGAUAUGCCACAAGCAAAGUUGUAUAAUUACUAAUAAUCUAUUUGAUAAAGCUUAGGGUGUCUAGUUGUUGACAAAAGUCUAAAGUUUAGAAAAUGCUUGUGCAUUUAUCCCUAACAUAAAUAAGUCACAUGUAAUUUUAUUUCUUCAUUUAUAUAUAGAUUAAUAUGGUAUAUAUCUGUGAUCGUUAAUUACUGCAUAAUGAAUGCAUAUAUCCAUGUUGUGCAAUAAAAUAAAACAAGUUAAAAAUUAAGGUUAAUUAAAUUUUACUUGGAACUAACAAUAAUGAUUAAAAUUGUCUGCUCAGUUGUCGAUUUGUUCAGUACAGAAAGCAAAGUUCCUUCCCACGUAUCAGAUAUAAUUUUCCCCCAUCUUAAAUAAUACUCAACCGUUAGUCAUGCAUGUACUCCCCCCUCAAGCUAGCUAGUCAAUGACGAAACGGAUGCCACUAAAGAAAUGUUAAAAGCACCAUAUAUAUAUAUAUAUAUAUGUACAGCAGAAGCGGCAGUGAUAUGCAGCUGAUUUCAUUUUUAUGAAAGAAAGAAAGAAAAAAAAAAAAAAAACAUGGUAGCUGAUUUCAAGGGUUACAGUGGUGCACAUAUGUAGAAACACUGAUGAGUAGGGUUAUAGUUGGGGUGUUACUAUCAAUCACCUAACAGGGGAGCCCGCACUGGCACCUUUCUCUGAUUACCAGUGGCUCUCCAUGUUAUGUUUUGGGUACCCAAAAGAUUCCCAAUUCAGAAAGUGAGCCAAAUUUAAUAUAAUAUUCAAAUUAGACGUUAAUUUUUAACCGUAAUAUAAAUAAACUGACUCAUCAAUAAUAUUAUAAGAUACAUUGUACGGUGCGAACGAUAUUAGCCAAAUAAAAAAAAUUGGUAAGCUAGAUAUAAAAAGAUUCUGAGUCCUUGGGUAUUAUUUUCUUAUUUUUUAUGCUGAAACCUAGGGCCAAAAAUGAAUUAAAAAAACAAAAGAAGAAAAAGAAAAAAAGAAACAGUGACUAUCUAUGCCUAUACAUUAAUCCCCUAAAAAAAUAUCAUGUAGCUGUGUUUUCUUUACUUUUAAACUUUACAUUGCGAAACCAACCCUUCGCCUACCCUCUACCCAUAACGCCUAAUUAAUAGUUCACUCACCUUAAUCCAAUCUUUCGCUUUCCCUCCACCCAUAACGUCUAAUUAAUGGUAUACUCAUCUUAAUCCAACCCUUCGCCUUCCCUCCGUACAUAACGUCUAAUUAAUAGUCCACCCAUCUUAACUUUAAUCUAAACUGUACGUCUAAUUAAUGAUUCAGCCAUCUUAACCCAACCUUUCCACUCACCUUAAUUCAACCCUUCGCCUUCCCUCCAUACAUAACGUCUAAUUAAUGAUCCACCUUUAAUCUAAACUGUAAAUCGUAGAAACCCACGAAAAGCCCCCUUCUCUCCUUCUCUACUUUCUCUUACUCCUCCAUGAGCUCCGAGGCCAAAAUCGAGCACGUUCUGUGGACGGAGUAUGAGUUUGCACGCUGCAUCGCCGAGCUUGGCUCUGCCAUUUUCAUCAAAUCGAGCGUUUCUUCAAAUUUCAAGAGUUCUUUUAAAAGAUUUAUAUAUUCUUUAUGUUGUAGCAUUGAAAUUUCUAAGAUAACUUUAUUCAGUUUUUUCAAGUUCUUUUUAUUUGCACGGUAUUCAAAUUUAUAUGUUUGUUGUGUUGAAGGUUUAUUCUUUUUCCUUUUUCUAUCCUUUGUUUUUUUUUUUUUCGAAAGUAAAAUUCUGUAUUAUAUUUGAUGUAUUAGGUUGGUUAUGUUGUAUAUCUUUUUGUCUCUUAAAUAUUUAUUAUAUAACUUUUCGUAUGUUUAUUUUUUUCUACUUCCAUGACUCUUUUUAUUAACUAAUAUAAGAAUGUUUACAAAAUUAGAUUGAUAUAUGAUCUAAAAAGGUCUUCAUUUUUUUUGAAGGAAUAAGUAUCAUAGCUUACAUAAAAAAUGAAGGGAUAAAUAUAUAACUUAUACAAAAAAGUUUAACCCUUUGAUUGUUUUGAUUUGAUUUAUAAAAUGUUAAUUUUUAUUGAAUUUUUUAUCUAAAUCUCUCCCAAACAGUAUGUCGCUUUUCGGCUCAAUAGGUUGACAUACUUAUUAUCAUUCUAUGAGCAUUUUGUUGCUAAUCGACUUCAGCAAAUUAAUAUACUUUUGCAAGAAGUCAAUAUAUUUGGACUAUUUUAAUUUUUAAAAUAAUAUAAAUUUUUUGAUAUAUUAGUUAGAUAUUAAAUUUAUUUUAGUAAUAUUUAUCCGCCGCAACACGCUGGUUACUAUACUAGUGUAGAAUUCAUUUGAAUAAGAAUAAGAUCCCCCAACCAUAGGCCACGUAUACAAUAUGGGGCCAUCUCUUAUAAAGCACGCAUGUAUGGAUAUAAAUAUGUGCAUUUAAAUCAAAGAGGUGGCAUUUGAGUUCGCAUCUGUUCUCCUCAGUUGGUACUAGAAGACAUCAUGGCCAAGGGUCACCCGAGAGCUACAAGAAGGCUGGCUCUGCCGGGGUUAAUGAUAUUCCUACUGAUCCCCAUUCUCUAUACUCUCAUACUCCGCCGCGGCGCUCACUCCCUUCACCCACGUGAGCCUCCCUGUUUCUACUAGUGAUCAUAACCUUUCGUUUUUAAUUGCGGUUUAAUACAAAUUUUACUGCGAUGCAAUUAGUUAAAUUAAUGACAUGCAGAACUAGUACGUCUUCUUUUUUGUUUUUAAUUUUUUUGUUUAUUCAUGUGAUGAAGUGAAGUCGCAAGUAUCGCCGCGAGAAAGCAGCCUCAGCCUCAGAAGCGAUGGCAAAAGCAAGAAAGAGAGGGGCAGCAGUCUCAGCCUUACGGUCGAGGAAGACGGUGCGGCUGUUGAGGAGUUCAACAAGUUCCUCACGCACAAACUGGCAAGAGGUUGUUUUAUAAUUUAUUAUAAUUAAUUAUAGUCUCUCUUCUAAUUAUAUAUCAAGCUUAAGUAGUUCAAUUGGCAGGGUUUGGUUAAUAAUUGUCACUCCUCAGCUAUAUAUUCAGUACUCAGUCUACCUUUUUCACUGAGUAAUUGCAACCAAGAUGAUAAAAUGAAAGGCUCUACCUGUAAGUCUUAGCGGCUCUGCUGCUUUGAAAGGUAGAUAACGCGGGGAGGCACGAAAGAGACAACAAAUGAAAAAACAUUUUAUUAUUAUUAAUUGGCCGAUAGGGAAAACUAAACUUGACUAGGAGCGAGUGUCUUCAAGCUGCCAAGGCUUAGAACUAAUUAAUUCUAACACCACUGUAGUUUCUAAGAUUAAUUGCAUACAUGUUUCUAUAAACAUAGUAAAUUACAAAUACAUUUCUACAAAAUUUAACUUUUAUAUGUUAUUUUCGCAAAAGUUUUAAUAUUUUUAAAUAUAUCACUCUGUUUUGUUACCGUUAGAGAACUAUUUAUUUUUUAACAGAAGAUAAGUAAAAUGUCGAUUUUAUUAUCAUAAAUACGUCCCUCCAAAAGCCCCAACUAGUAUAAUCGUGUAAAAUUGUCAUCUCAAAAAACUUUCAAUGGUCAUCUUCUUCCUCUUCUUUUUUCUCUUUAAAACCCAAUCCGAUCCAUUAUUGUUUGCAAUCUCUUAUCUCAUUCCUUUUCUCUUAAAUCUUUUCAUUAAAGCAUUAUUAUUGCAACCUCUUAUCUCAUUCAUUUUCUCCUAAAUCUUUUCUUUAAAGCAAAAUAAGAAAAAAUUAUAAAAAAAAUUGAAGGAAGCAACAUGCUUUUGAUAUUGGCGAAGCAACACGCGUUGUGGAUGAAUGGAUUGGAGAAAUUCUAGUUACGAUUUUAAAACUAGCACAAAGGAGAGAAAGGAAGAGGAAGAGGAAAAGGAGGAAGAAGAAGAGUUUUCAUUGCUAGAAUUUUUAUUGAGAGAAAAAGACAUAAUAUAAAAGGAAUAAAAAUAUUAAUUUAUCUUAUUGACUAAUCAGGAUUAAGUAUUUUAUCUAUGGUUAAUUAAAAUUUUUUAAUAGAUCCUAAGAAGGACAAUAUUUGAAAAUAUUAGCAUUUUUGUAGAAACAAUAUAUGAAAAUUAAAUUUUGUAGAGAUAUAUUUAUAAUUCAUUAUAUUUGUAGAUACCUGUAUGUAAUUAAUCCUAUUUUAUAAGGGCAAUAUUGUAAGAAACUAUCCAAAAAAUAAAACAAAAUAAAACUAACUAUGGCACAAAUAACAGAUUAAUCCACACAGCUCUUAUGGAUCUCAAUUUUCUUCUCAAUUCCAAAAUUUUUUGUUUUGGUGAUUAAUUCCUUGGGGAUCAAAUUAAGGGCUCUUUUGAAUUAUCUUGUAUCAAUUUUGCAGGCAAAAAAAUUAUAUAUGAUCGGAUAUAUAUGUAGCUAGACAGAUAGAGUUUUUCUUUUGACCUUUUAAAUUUGCUAACUUUGGAUAAAGUCGAGUUAGAUUCCAUUAAAAAAGUAGUGCACAAAAUAAUAAAGGUGAUUAAAAAGGUUUCUUCUUUUUAUUAUCAAACAGUUCAUAUAGAUGCGUAAAAAAAUAUUUUAAGCAUUUCAUCGUUAGUUCACACGUACAUUCUAUUAAACAGAAUUAAUUAAAAAAUAAAAUAAUUAACGAUAUAAUAACAUCAGUCGUAUAAUAAAAGUGAAUUAAUAACGUCAAUCAGAACUAUAUGAGGAGAUAGUUUCUAAAUUUUGUGUGUGCCUGGCAGAGGCGGCUGACGGUGACACAAUUUUCAAAUUUGUUACUAUUUACCAAACAUGGCAAUUUUCAAAUUAUGCUUCAUAUUUACACAUCAAUCGAAAUUGAUUAUUUUGAUAACCUUUGGACCCCGCAAUUCUAUAACUUCUCUUCGAAUUAAUUACACCAUAAUUAAUGGCUUGUGCGAGCCAUAACGGGCGCACAAACUUUUGAGCCAGGAAGGCUCGCGUGCCCGGGUGGGGAAAUGUGGGCCAAAUUUACUUCGUUGAGGAGAUUGUUUGUCGCCUUACACGUGCGUGCUAAUGAAGUCAAUUUUUCACGACCAAAUUAUAUAUGGCAUGUCAAAACAUAUUCUUUUUUCUUUUUUUUUUUUUUAAGUAAAGUUUUUAAUGGUUUUACUAGGAUCCUCCUCCUUAUUUAGCUCAAGUUUAACUUAAAUUAAUUUUGAGCUUAAAUUUAGGCUCGAGCUCGAUUUGAAAUUAAUUUAAGCUGUGCUCGAGCGAGUUUAAUUUCGAAUCGAGUGAGCUCAAGUUCUAAAUGCGCAGUUUGAAAUUCUUAAUAUCAUGCAAUCUAUAAUUUAGUUUUUAUAAAAUAUUAUAUAAAAUUUAAUACAAAAAUAUAUCUAAUAGUUCAACAUACAAAAUAAAUUUAUAAAAUAUGAUAUUAUAAUAUUGAAAAAAUUCACAUUUGCCAGUCCUAUCCGUUUCUCACGGUCCGAAUUGACGAACCAAUUUGUAAUUACAUGUUUGAUUAGGACUGUCUGCACAUGCAUCUCCGCGAAUCAUCUCAUCUUUGAUCCCCUCGUAGUUAAGAGCUUGUUCAUCAUGGUCAGCUUAAUUAAACUCUAAUUAAUAUAUAUAAAAAAAAAAGAAAAACAAAAAUGAAUUAUUAUUAUACAAACUAUUGAAUUAAUCAUAUUUACAUGAAAAAAAAAUAAUUUUAAAAUAUUAUAGUAUUGUCAACGUAAAUGAGAAAAUGCAUUUAGUAAUAUUUGCGAAAUAAACUUUAGUUUUGAGCUGAUUAAAAUAUUCGCUUUUACGACAGACAAACUCUUUAAUUAUAAGUGCGCCGUUCGUGGGCGCGCAGCUUGCAUUCGACUUAUAUCAAAUAAGCUAGCUAGUUUGAGAUUGGCUUGCUUGUUAAUUUACUAGCUAGAUAUAUAGCUCAAACUUAUGAUUGUUUUUGCUCACUCGUAUAUGAGAUAAGCAAACUCGAGAUAGCCAUUUGCCUAGCUAGCACAAUUAUAUUGCGGAGAAAGUGAAGAUGCAGAAUAGAAAAGUAGAGAUAAGAUUAUAUUAAAAUAGUUAAAAUAAAGCCUUAUUUGGCAACGUGGCCAUUCUUCUAUUUUUAAAACGCUAUUUCUAUAUAAUUAAUUAUAUCGACGAAAUAUCUUUUUUUCUUACCGUCAUUAUUAGUUAGCUAGCUUGUAACAUAUAUAUAUUCCUGCAAAGUGAUGGAUGACAACUUAUUCAUAGAAAUUUUGAAAAUAAAAAAAAGUUAAUUUUAAGAUCUCACAUUAUAUGUAAGAAUUAUAAACAAUUGGGAAACCCUUUUUGACACUUAAUUAUUUACCAUAGUAGGCCUAGGUAGUUUGUUGGUGGCUACGGGCUAGAGCAUAUAAACUACCUGGUGGGUCGGGUCCCGGAGAGAAAAUUGUUGGAUUAAUCCUUUGUUCUCCACAGAAAACGUGGGAUUCUAUAUAAUUAAUAUUUAAUUUCUUAACAAAUAAUUGGUUGUUACGUGUAGAUCAUCAUGCAUGAUGGAGGCAGUCUAUAUUAUAACAUUUACACAAUAUUAUUUAUUUCUAACUAAUCAUAUUUUUUCUUUUGAGAGAAAAUUAAAAAAAUAUUGUUCUAAUAACCAUUAUGGGAUGGAUGAACCUAAAAGAACGGAUCUGAUUGAUCGAAAAUACCACAUCAGUAAUAUAAUUGGUGCAUUUUAGACCUUUUCUUAUGGGAGGGGACAAUUUGGCGCUCUCAUGAUGUCGCUUGUUUGCCAAGCCGUCCUCAAUUCAUAGCUUCUUAUUAUGUUUUAAUGCUUUGAGUAUGAUUGACGAUGGCAAGGAAUGUCUCGGAAAAGAACUGUUUGUGACCAAAUGUCGACAUAAAUUUUUUUUUGUGAGAAAGAGGUAGCACGCUACCAGCUUCAUUCAUUGGACUGAUGAAUUAAGCUACAAGUAUUCCAGCCGGACUCCUCUAUAUAUGUAUAUGUUAUAUGAAUUUGUAUACAUAAUACUAGAUGUCAACGGGUCGGAUUCGGGGCGGGUUUUUAAAAACCUGAACCCGACUGCCAAAUCCGAAAUCCGAACCCGAACCCGAUGGAUUUUAAAAAUCCAUAUCCAAACCCAAACUCGGACAAAAAUUCAAAACCCGAACCCGAAUCCAAAUGCUUCUCUUUUAGGUCUAAGCCUGUACUGGAAUUAAACAAAGAAAAAUUACAAAAAAUAUGAGUUCCAUUGCCUAACAAACCAUAAGAGCAAAACAAAAGUUAAAAAAGACAUAUAGAUCUAAAGAAUCAACUCAUAAGAAUUAGAAAACUAAAAUUAAAAAUACUAAUUAAGAAAAAACAAAACAAAAUUUUUUUAAAAAAGUUAAAAAGAAAUGAUAGUUUCAUAGCACAACAUCCCAUAAAAACUAAAAGAUUACUAAUUAAGAGAAAAAGAAAAUAAAAAAUUUCUAAAAUUUUUUUUAAAAAAAGAUAGUUCCAUUGUCCAAAAAUCCAUAAGACUAAGAAAUUAAAGUUAAAAAUAUUAAUUAAGAGAAAAAUAAAACAAAAGGUAUCUAAAAAGUUAAAAAAGAAAAAAUAGUUCCGUUGCCUAAUAACCCACAACAUCUAAGAGAGUGAAGUUAAAAAUACUAACUAAGAAAAAAAUAAAAUAAAAAUUUUUAAAAAAAAUUAAAAAGAAAAGAUAACUUUAUUACCGAACAACGCACUAGAAUUAAAAGACUAAACUUAAAAAAUAAAAAAAGAAGACAUAUAAAUAUGAAGAAUCAAAAAAACCCACGUAAAAAAAAAAGCAACCUUAAUUCUCAAAUUUUCUUUUAAAAAAAUUCUCACAUUUUUUUAUCUUAGGUUUGCAUUUCUGGUUCUUGAGGAGGAAGCAACAAGCCGAAAUAUUCUCUUGACCUCUUGGGGAGGAAUUAAUAGGAGAUUACAACCACUUCGCUUGUUCUCUAGAAUUCGGGUUAGGAUUUGGGGAGGAUUUGGAAAAGUUUUGAAGUUUGAAUAUUAGGGUUUGGAUUAUAAAAAUAUGUAUUUUGGUUUGGGUUAUAAAAGUAUAAGUAUUUUUUUUUAUGAGUGAGGCUACUAUGCUUUUGGAAGCACGGAGCCUUUCAUACUUCCAGGUCGUUUUCGAUGUUGCGAUUUUCGAAUCGUCGAUUGGCUCCGUUAAACUUGAUCUAGAGUAUUUGAAGUAUCUAGAAAAUAAAUUUUAUGAUUUUUCGAUAUCAUUUGCCUAGUGAUCGAAGGGGCUCAAAAUCAAUAAUUUUAAUAGCUGUAGUGAGCCGUUUGCAAGUUUAACGGUGUAGAAAUACCCAAAUCACGUGAAAUUUUGAUAGAAAAUUCUUUAUACUAUAUAAAACAAGAUCAAUAUCUUUGAUCUAAAAUUUUAAUGUCAUAUUAUCACGUUUGUAAGAUUUUUAUUUUCAGCCGUUGAUUUUGAACCCCUUCGUUCACUAGGCAAAUAAUAUCGAAAAAUCACAUAAUUUAUUUUCUAGGUACUUCAAAUACUCUAGAUCAAGUUUAACGGAGCUGAUCGACGAUUCGAAAGUCGCAACAUGGAAAACGACCUGGAAGCACGGAAGGCUCCGUGCUUCCAGAAACACACUCUUUGUUUUUUAACCUUUAGAUUCAGAUCUAAUGGUUUAAAACUUUUUUAUAUAUUAAAUUAUAUUAAAUUUGUUUGGAUUUAAGUUCGGGUUCAGAUUUUUUUAGAAUAUCCAUACCUAAUCCGUUGGGUUUUUUUUUUUAAUAUCCAUAUAUGAAUCCAUAUCCAUUUUACAUCGGAUAAAAUCCACUCCGUUCGGGUCUGGAUUCGGAUAAAAUUCAAGUAUCCAUAUCCAUUUACAUCUCUACUAUAUAGUUAUGUACAUGAAAACUAUCACUUGAUAUACCAAGUAAAUUUCAAAAGUUUACUUAAGAAAUCAUAAAUUAGAAAAUUAAUAAAAUAAAAAUAUAAAUUGUCGCUAAAAACCUGAGUGUUCAAACCGACAAACCAAAUGGACACCAUACAAAAAUUCUUGAUUUGUUUGGUUUGGUAUUCCACACCAUUAGUUUUGUUUUGCUUUUGAAUUUUUCAAAUCGAAUUUGGUUGGUUCGGUUUCAAUUUAUCUUGUAACUCGAGCCAAACCGAACCAUCCACACCCCUAAUCAUAUCUAACAAAUGGUGUCUACGUUGUUUGCUUACAUUGACAGAAUACAAUAAAAUAAAAUAAAAUAAAAUAAAAUAAAAUAGAAAUUACACAAAUACCCUAUCAAUAUUUAGAGAUUCAGUAAUUCUAAAUUUUAAAUUUGGGCAAUUUCACCCUUCAACUUAUCAAACAGCUUAAUUCAUUCUUCUUAUAAAACAUAGUUAUUUAGUAAAAAGAAGAGCAUCUAUUCUCAGCACGUCCCGCAUUUGAUAUUUUUCAGUCUUGAAAACACAUUGAAACCAUUUUUUUGCAUUCUAUUGUUCCAAAAAAAAAAAAUCAAGAUGUCCGCAAUUUAAUUAUUCUUCAAAUCUAGCAUUUUAUUCUAUCUAUGAGAAGAAAGAGAGAUUUUUCUUAUCUUUUGAUGCUUUACAAAAUCUCAUCUAAGCUUGGUCACCACCAUCACAAUUAUUCAAUUAGCAAAUUUGCAAGAGCCAGCUGAACAAUGGUCUAGUUGUCUAUAUAUAUAUAUUUUUGAAAAAAAUGUAGCUUGCUACCUACUUCAUUCAUUAAGUGAUAUGAACUGAGCAUACAAAAUAGAAGCAGCUAAGGCUUCUGAAAAGCAUAUAAGAGGAGGUAGAGGUAAGACGUAAGAAAGAAGUGGCAAGGUAGGGAAAGAGAGAGAAGAGAGAGAAACUAGUGUAAUGUCAGAGCAGAGCAGUCCAAUUGUCCAAUAGCAGUUUGACACAUUCUAGCGACCGGGUGGCAUUGGGCAGAUUUGUCCAGAAGACGAAGUUGUUUCUGUCCCUCCAGACCACCCAUCAGAUUGCAGCCAGAGUGGUCAGACCUUUUGUCCGUAUUUGAUGUACAGGGAUGGUAGAGAGUCUGGCCCAGAGACUUCGGACGUCCCCCAUGAGGUCGUCUGGUACAUCCAAUCCUUUCACAUAGAAGAGAAGGUAACGUACAAAAACACAUUUGCAGAAUAAGUGGUCACAGCAUUCCGGUAGUACAGCACAUAGGACGCAGUGUUGCUUUACGUGCAUGCCUUGGCGAAGCAAUCUAUCGGCAGUGGGUAAUCUCUUUCGGAGAAGCAGCCGAAUGAAAACUUUGAUUUUUACCGAAAUUUUCAGACUCCAGAUGUGUUGGUACGUCGGUACUCGCAGUCUAGCAUCAGUAAGGAAUACGUAUAGGGAUUUAACAGUAAAUAGCUGGUUGGAGGUCCACCUCUGUUUUGUUGAAUCCGGUCCAUUACGUGGGCAGUGGCUCAGUAGCAAGACUUUAAGCCUCGCUAGCUGUCUACGGUUUUCGUCAGAUUCGGACACCACGAAACCGUGGCAUAUGAAGCGCCAUCUCCAUCCAUUGGAGUUCCAGCAUUAGGAGACUCGGGCCUCCAUGUUCGUAAUUCUCCGAUAGAUGUUAGGGAAUAGGAUGCUUAGGGGGGUUUUUCAAAUCCAGAUGUCAGACCACAGUCUGAUAAUUUUUUCGUCACCUAACUCGUAGGUAACUCCACAUUUAAACACAUCUCGGCAACAGAUUACACAUUUCCACCACUGUGAGUAAGGAACGAAGGCACUUCCCUCGUGCAGUGGCCUUUUUCUGACAUAGUAGAGGGUCCUUAUCAAUUUGCACCACAGAAGAUUAGGCUCAUUGAAAAAGCACCACCACCAUUUACUUAAAAGAGUGAGAUUCAUAAAUUCCAAAUCUUUGAUUCCUAAUCCACCUUCUUUUUUGCUUUUGCAGACGGAUUUCCAGUUGACCAGACAUGAACCACCAGCGAUUGUGGAGCACUCUUUCCAGAAGAAGGCUCUUCAGAGCGCGUCUAUCCGGUGCAGUACCCACUAAGGUGCUUUGAAGAUAGACAGGUAGAAGAGAGGCAAAUUGGUGAGAACCGAGUUGACUAGAGUGAGUUUUCCCCCAAAUAAUAGGAGUUUAGCUUUCCAGCCUUCGAUUCUCUCCCCUAUAUGAUUAAUGACCACAGCUCAGUCCUCCUUAAGAAGUUGCUAUUGUGCAGAGGUAGUCCUAGAUAGAGGAAUGGUAGCUUGCCGACUUUGCAUCCUAUAAUGUUAGCGAGUCUUUCGGCUUUGCGUGAGUUGGCCCCCACGUAGUACAAUUCCGAUUUGUCUUUGUUAAUUCGUAGACCAGAGGCCCAUUCAAAAGUAUUCCAAAGAAACAGGAGGUUGUGUAUGAAGCGUUUCCUUGGCUUGCAGAAGUUGAUUGUGUUAUCGGCGUAUUGGAUUAGCACCGUCUGGCACUCAUCAGAUAGUCCAAUAUCGCGCAGCAGGUUGUUCCUCCUUGCAGUUUCAGUCAACCUUGCUAGGCAGUCAGCCACCGGUAAGAAGAGAUAGGGGGAGAGAGGGUCCCCCUGUCCGAGUUCCUUCCUUGCUUUCAUUCAUGGGGUUGGAGUAUCGUUCACUAGAAUGGCUACUUUGGCGUUGCAAAUACAUUAUUCAAUCCAAGCCCACCAUUUGUCACUGAAACCAAGCCAGUGCAGUAUACUUUUAAGAAAUGACCAUUUGACGUUGUUAAAGGCUUUCUCAAAAUCGACCUUGAUGCUUGCACAUUCCUUACCGGCUUUAGAGCACCAGUUUACUAAUUCGCUUGCUGUGACAAACGAGUCAGCUAACAGCCGGCCUUUGAGAAAGGCCGAUUGUGUUGGGAAAAUGAUGGAUGGCAGAGUAAGCGCAAGUCUAUUGGCCAGAACUUUGGAGAUGAUUUUAUGUAUCCAUUAAGGAGGCUAAUGGGUCAGAAGUCUUUGGCCUUGCAUGUUCCUUCUUUUUUGGAGAUGAGGCAUACGUAUGAGUAAUCUGUAGGGCCAGUGAAUAGUUUAUCGUCCUGUAGGUCAGAAAAGACCAAAAAGAUGUAUUCUUUCACCACCUCCCAAAAGGUUUGAAAGAAAAUUAGCGAAAAACCGUCCGGCCCGAGGGCCUUCUCGCUGCCUAGUUGGAAGGUUGCUGUCUUGACUUCGUCGAGGGUAAAUGGUGCUGUUAGGGAGUCGAGGUCCAUCACUCUGUUAGAGUAAUAGAGCUCGCUCCAGUUUCCGAAGGAUGGUGUGAUUUCCUCUGCACUGCCGAGCACUCGUUUAAAAAAUUGGAAGAAGUAGGAUCUCUUGUGUUCUUCGUUGGCGAUUUGCUGAUUGGCGUCAUCAACGAUGAGUUCGAUCGUAUUGUUACGCUUUCGACCGUUGGCAAUAGCGUGAAAAAAUUUGGUGUUACCAUCACCCUCCUUUAGACAGAGCUGUUUAGCCCUAGUUGUAGUAUCCUUAUACCUAUGUAUAGGAUGACACGUGCCCCCAUGCAUGCAUGCAUGCAUGCUUAUUCAUCAGAGGGUUGCAACAUCUGCCUCCUUAAUUAACUUUGCAUUUUCUUCUCUCUCUCUCUCUAGAACCGAGUGUGUGCAAGGUGGAGUUCGGGUGGAGUUUCGUCGCCGACGUGGUGCCGCGGAGCCGUUCGGGCGCACGUUGUGUCGUAUUGGUGCUGUGAGGAGCUUGGGCGGGCGUGGAUUUCUGUCGUCCUCGACUUUGCGCCGACUCUUGAGGAUCUAUCGAGGUGAGUGCUCUGUGGAAUUGCUGCGCAUACUUCGGAUAUCAUCAAUUCGAGCUUAAGUGCUGAUUCGCAGGAUCUUGUCGUUGACUGUUAGUAUUUCAGCUCGUACGCGACGUAAGAGCAUCGGAUUUCGACGAGAUUUAGUUCGUUGAAACCGAGACUUCGAGACGAAUUCAUAGGAUCCUUACUCGCCCGAUUUGGAGAAGGUUUGCUCUGUCGAAAUCCCUUUUUACUGAGUUACUGUUUGCCGAGCAGAUUUCAGAGAUGCUGUUUCGCAGGUUCCAGCGUCGACGUUUCGUAUUCUGGCCCGUUCUCUGCGUAGGAGCGUCGGAAUUCAGCGAAACCUGGACCAUUGGAUUCGUGACUUUGAGACGAAGCUUCAGAACCCUUGUUUGCUGAAUUUGGAUAAGGUUAGCUUGGUCGGAUUUAAUGCUUUCUUCGCUGCUGUUUUCUGGACAGAUUUCGUGAUUUUGAGUGUAAUUGGGUUUACUUCUUCGCAGCAGGAGAACCGGGGACUUCGACGGACCAGCGAGGGAUCAUUUUGGAUCCGGGCCACUUUCUUCGCUGCCAGGAGUUGCUUGAGAGGUGGGUUACAUCGGUUUUGACUCCUAAGUUCUAAUCGUCGACAUGUAUAGUUUUCAAUUUUUGGAUAAUCUAUUCUAGCUCGAAUUCAUGGAUUAAAUGGUAGAUUGCAUAUCUGAAUUUGGAGCAUGUGGUAAUAAAUUGAAUAGGUUAUACAUGUUGGACUUGGGAAUUGAAUUAGGAGAAAACUUGCGAUUUGGACCUGUCACUUGAUUAAACUGCCUGAUUUAGCUCUAGGAGCCGUUAUUAAAUUGUACUGUCGCAGUAUCCUCGAGACGAGUACUCCAGGUGGUUUAGUAUACAUUUACGCUCGUGCUGGUAUGCCGAGUGAAUUUUUACAGUGUUGUUCAGGUUGUUCCGGACUGUGGGGUGCCGUUAGAGUGACGGUGGACCCGUAUCGCCUUUUUGGCGUCAGAUUGUGCUGAGAGCACGUUACUCGUUGGUUGUUAGACCAGUUAGAGUCGAUUUCUUGACUUUGGCUUUUCAGAGCCUGUUUGAGCUCGACAGAGAUACGCUGCAUACUCGGUUGGGUAGCGCCCACGAGUGCCACUCCGGAGUCAGGCUUGUGCUUUCGCGUUGGUGUCGCUCAUGCCAGUUGGACUUGCUCUCCACGGACCAGUUAGUGUGGAGGUAGCUGGACAGUCACAACGGGGCAGGGACGGGUGUAUUCACAGUCCCCGGGACGGGUAUGUUUACAGUCCCGAUUGGAUUGGGUCAAAUUGGACAAUUCCUGCAGUUGGUUAGUAUAGAGCAUGAUAGUGUAGUAAUUGAUAGCGGUAGAGUUUACUUCCUGCUUUUCUGACUACUCUUGCUCCCUUCUGUAGACUUAGUGGGUAGACCGAUGUUGUUUUGGGCGGCACCCACUGAGGACUACCUGUUUUUACAGUAGUUCUCACGCCCAGUUGUUACUCCUGUUUUGCAGAGCCACAGGUGCCGGCUGCUGCAUCUUCCGCCGACCAGGAUCGAGGCAAGGGCGUUGCGAGCUAGAGCCCUACCCGACAGUCAGAGCUAGAGGCUUUCCCCUACUGCAGGUAGUUGUUGUUUUGGAGUUUAUGUACAUAGUUGUUUAACUCGCCAAUGCGAGUAGCCUUGUAUUUUGGAUUCUAGCUAUGUAUAUGAAACUCAGUUAUUUAGUUUUUGAGCAGCUCUAUGCUACUGUUUGUAGUAUCGUAUUUCUUCAGGUACUUUGACGCUUCGUAUACAGGGGAAAUUCCUUUGUAUACGGCGGAUUUGUCGGCGUGCCCGGGGAACGAGAUAUCCGGGGCGUGA